CACACACACACACACACACACCUGCGCCUACGGCCUACCUGCCCGAAUUCUCCACCUUCAGUGGAUUCGGGGCAAUGGGGCAAAUUCCUAAAGUGCAAAUGGAGGGUACUGCUAGUACCUGCCCCCUACCUGCCGCACCACCCCGCCAGGAAUGCCGCACCUGCACGGCCCCUGAGCUCGUCCUCCGAGCGAAAGGAGGCUGCGGUUUGGGGGGCAGGGGAGCGCAGGGGCAGGAGAGGGAGCAGGGGCGGCCGCCGGCCGGAGGAGCAGGGGGAGGGGCAUCGGGGCGUGUUGCAAGAGGCGCAUUCCUGGGCUUGGGGCUGAACGGCUUGGAGGUGUUGUUCGGACCUGUUGCAAGAACACACGCACGCCCAAAACACAGACGCGCCUCGAACCCCAUCUGGUAUCUGAGAUGCUCAGUGCCGGUCAGGUUGGUGUUUGUUAAUUCAGGGGGAGCAUAGUUGGGUUUGAUGCUGAUGGUGUGAAGAAGAUAGGCGAGGAGGGGUUGAAGCGGGGUUGAGCCCAAGGUUGAGCCGUGGCCCGUCGUGGCCGGCCAUGGGUCGAGUGAGAGGAUGCGUGGCGCCAUUGCGGGGCAGCAUGCCAAGCAAUCAGCAGCCACGCAGCACGGCGACAGCAUUCAGCAGCUGCAGCUACAAGCGCUGGCGCUCCACGCCUCUGUCUCAGAGGCCCAGGGCGCUGCGCUUGCAGCUGAACGGCGGCAGAAGGAGCUGCAAGGCACGGUCGCAGCGCUGCAAGUCCAGAUGGAGGAGCAACGUUGCGCGCUAGAGGACACCCAGCGCGCCCUGGCCCGAGCAGGGUGCUCCGGGGGGGGUCGACGAGGGUAAAGUCCUGCUGAAGUCGGUUAGCCCUGAGCUGCUCGAGAAACUCAAGGCGGCUGGAAAUCUGGAGGCGGUGGCCAGUGCGAGUGGCGCAAACGUCUCCGGACGAUACGUGCGCGCGUGGCGGUUAAAGGGUAGGGAGGUGUGGAAUGUCGUGGUGGAGGUGACACAGCAGGAGCGGAGCGCGCUCAUUCGGGUGGCGCAGCAGGUCCGUGCGGCUGGUGCCGUUGUCGCACCGUAUCUGACCCGGGUAGGGUGUGAGAUGCGCAAGGAGCAACUGAAGGCUUUUGAGGAGCUUCGUGAGAAGGGGCUCCGACCCCGAUGGAAAGGUGGAGCGGGCAUUACGUGCUCGGGCGCGUAAACAGCGUAUAGACGCUUUAGAAGACACUUUGCUUUUUGCUAUCAAGCGCCUCCGGACUCAGAAGAGUUAGUGGGGCCACAUGGACUCCGACGCCAUGUAAAUGCUCAUGCUCAUGCCAAGCAAGGGUAGGUUCGCAUUCGUCGAGUGCUUCUUGAGCCGCUCAAAAUUAAUAGUAUUCCCUGUCACAUCAGCUAACACCCUGGGAACUGGAGUCCCUUGAAGGUCAACUGCUCGACUGGCUUCUGACUUGAGUUAAGGCUUCAAGGCACAUGGAUACAUGCCAUUGGAGCCGGUUGACACCAGACCUCGUUAGGCGCAUUGCUGAGUUUGCCAACGCGAACGAUGUGGCGGGGUCGUGGAUGCUCGUCGACCGCGCGACCGCAGCGGCCCUGCGUGGCAGCUAUUCAUUCAUAACACCUGGUCAAAAGCGGCAGUCUCAAUGGGAAACCCAUCGGGCCCAGCAGCCGUGGCCCAAGUAUGCCUUCGUGGCGCACUGGGGCCGCCCCGAGCCCUGGCGCUCGCUCAGCCUACCCCAGCGCGAGCGGCUGUUGUGCCUGGCCGCGUCCUCGGGCCACGCGCCCAGCCUGGACGCGGCCCUGGCGCACUGCGGCUGCGUCCUGAAGCCGGAGGUGCUGACGGCGGCCGCCGCGGCUGGCAACCUGGCGGGCUGCGAGCGGCUGCUGCACGGCGAGGGCUGCUCCUUUGAGUGGGGCGCUCUCAGACAGUCGGCGGAAGCGGGGCACUUGCGAGUUCUGCAGCUGCUGCUUAAAAGCUUUGGGCCAAACGCCUUCGUGCUCCCGAACUUCUUGGCGAGGGCGGCGGAGGGCGCCUAUGCCGGCGGCCAGCCCCACAUCCUGGACUGGCUGCAGCAGGCGCACGGCAACAGGCCCUGUUCAGGCAGCGCAGAAGCAGCAGCUGCAGCCGUAGCGGCUGUGGUAGCUGCGGCGUACGGUGGCCAGGUGGCGAUACUCGAGGACCUGCUUGCCAGGAUGCAGGACGAGUUUGGUGGGCACCAUCAUCAACAGCAGCAGCAACCGCAAAACGAGCAGCAGGAAGGCGCGCCAGCAGCAGCAGCAGCAGCAGCCAUGGCGGCAGAAGACGACCCGUCAGCCGCCGUCUACUCGUGUCGCUUGCUGGCGGUGAUUGCCCGCGGCUGCCCGGUGGAGGUGUUGGAGCGGCACUACCACUCGAACUGGCCCUGGCCACCGCCCAUGCCGCCGCCCAUGCCGCCGCCACCGGCUGGCGACGGCGACAGCGAAGGGGAGGGCGACAGCGAAGGAGAGGGCGACAGCGAAGGGGAGGGCGACGGUGACGGCGAAGGAGAGGGCUCUGAGGACUCUGAGGGGGGCUUUGAAGGGGAAUCUGAUGAGGAGGGCGUUGAAGGGGACUCUGAGGAGGCCUUUGAGUUCCAGGACGAGGCGGAGGACGGCGGCGACAUCAUGGCGUGCAACUGGGGCCUCAUCUCGCUGCUUGACGCCGCCGUGGGCAGCCCCACACCCUGCUGGGCCGCCAAGCUGGACUUCCUGCUGGACGCCUGGGGGCCGGAGGUGGCGGGCCAGGUGCUGAGGGGCGAGCGCGGGUGGCAUUGUGUUUGGAAGCGCGUGUCGGUACAGCCGGAUUACUUGGCACGGCUGCGGCACCUGCACGAGCGCGGCAUGCCGCCUGACGCCGGUGCUGCAGUCGAGUGAGUUGGCUGUGUAUGUGUGUGUGAAGCCGUGUGUGUUACUGCGUGUGGGGCCUGAGCGAAUUCCUGUGGCUGCUGCUGCGGUUCUUGAUUGUGGCCCUGAUCUGCUGCGCUAGCUUGGGCUGGCUCCAUCCUCCGUGUCAUCACUUUGGCACGCGCCGCAUGUUUUCACCCCCGCGCCCCCGCACCGCUCCCCGCCUGCUAUAUACUACUGUUCCUGGCUACGCCUUCACUUCUUAAGCAAUCAUGAAUGUAAAUCCUCCCCCCAGGUCCGCGGUCCGCGGCGGGCACGCUGAGGCGCUGGCGUACCUGUGGGACGAGUGCGAGCUGCCGGUGAGGCAGUUCGACAUCGACUCUGGGCUGAGGGCAAUCAUAGUCUGCGGCACAGUGCCGGACGGCUAUCUCGACCUACUGAAGCUGCUGCGGGCGCGCCGCGGCGUGUACCUGGGCACACGCCACGCGAAAGACAUGGCCACCGAUGAGGCUGUGGUAUGGCUGGCGGGGGUGGCGGUGGAUGGCAUGAGCAGCGGCAGCAGCAGCAGCAGCGGGGAGAGCAGUGCAGACAGCGGCAGUAGCAGCACUAGCAGCAGCAGCAGCAGCAGCAGCAGCGAUGGCAGCAGCAACGGAGGUGCGGAGGUGCCGGAGACGGAGGUGGAAGGAAAGGAGGAGGAGCGGGGGGUGGAAUCCAACGCGGCGGCCGGGGGAGCUGAGGAGCACGUGCACGUCAUCAGCAGUCGCCGGGAUGACACGCAUGACACGGGCAGCAGCAGCAGCAGCGGCAAUAGCAGAUCGGGUAGCAGCAGUGGCGGGGAACGCUGGCGUGAGGACUGGACUAACGCUUUUGAGGCCGCUGCCAGUCGAGGUGCGGGCCUUGCCGCCCUGCGUGCGCUGCGUGCUCGCGGCGCGGCAGUGGACCUGGCUGCGGUGGCGAAGGGCGGCAGUGAGGAGGCGCUGGAGUGGGCGGCGGCGGAGCUGGAGGCGGAGGGCAAGCUGCAGGUGCGUGUGGUGUGGUGGGGUGGGCGGGUGGGCGGUUGGGCGUGUGUUUGGGUGCGUGGUUGGGUAGGCAGCGAGCCACACGGCAGGAUGUUGAGGGCGGCAUGUUGCGUGGCUGGGGAGGCUGGGGGCUGGGGGCUUCAUGGGUUUGUGCAAGGGCCACGUAGCCCGGUACGCCCUCCACCCGCCCUUCCAUGCCCUGCCCUUUCCCGUCUCGUCUUAUUCGUUUGUCGUCCGUUUGGUCCCCCAACAGCCGCUGAGGGAGGACGCUGUGUUCGGAGCUGGCAACGUGGCGGCUCUGGACUGGCUGCUGCGCCGGCGCCUGCUACCGCCGCCGCCAAUGGGGCUCUGGUGGAGUCCGCACCUGCCCAUGGGCUGCUCCGGGCGGAAUGCGAGCGGGUUCUGGCGGGUGCAGCUGGCGGCGCACCUGGAGAUAUGGAGGCAGGGGCAGCGGCAGGAGCAGGAGCAGGAGCAGGGGCAGGAGCAGGAGCAGGAGCAGGAGCAGGGGCUGCAGCAGGAGCAGGAGCAGGAGCAGGAGCAGGGGCAGGAGCAGGAGCAGGGGCAGGGGCUGCAGCAGGAGCAGGAGCAGGAGCAGGAGCAGGAGCAGGAGCAGGAGCAGGGGCAGGAGCAGGGGCAGGAGCAGGAGCAGGGGCUGCAGCAGGGGCAGGAGCAGGAGCAGGGGCUGCAGCAGGAGCGGAAGCGGAAGCAGGAGGAAACGCCAGGAGGCCAGGAGCCCGACACGCCGCAUGUUGAUUCAGGCUACCCGCAGCUGCAGCCACAUGGACAGGAGCAGGGGAGCCAGCGCUGCUGCUGGGGAGCAGGUGUGUGGCAGGAGGUAGCGAGGGAGGCGGCGACUCGUGCGGCGCUGGCUCGCUGCGUGAGCACGUUUGCGCUACACCAGCAGCGAUGGCUGGAGGUGCAGGCGCAGCAGGCAUGUGUCGGGUGUGCGGCAGGCGGUGCAGGUGCGGGUGUAUGUGAUCCAGGGCUGUAGGUGCUUGCGGACAUGCAGGCGUGGAGCGUGCCGUGCCGUACCUCCCAGGCAGGGGUGUGCCGUACCUCCUAGGGCCCGGUGUGGCCCUGUGCCUCGGCCCGCGGGUGCGCCUGGUGCGUGUGCCGCACACUCAGGAUUCUUUUUUUAAGCCGUCAGCAUGCUUACAGCCGGCAAAAUAAUAACUCCCGGUGGCAAAAUAAUAACUCCCAGCGCCGGCAGCGCUAGCUGGCGCAGCAGGGCUACGGUAGUUUAUUUCUUGAGACGGAUAAAAGUGGUCGUUGCGGUGCCAGUGUGGUUGCUCGAGACGAAUGAGUGUGCGAUGGGACAGUGUUAAGGCAGGUUGGUGAAGUCCGUGAGUAGGGUGCAGCUGAUUCCCAGACCCCAGCAGAUGGCAAACAAUUUGGAACGCCAGUGCAGGAGAGUACAGGUAAUGGUCAUUGCGGUGCCACGGUUGACUCGGGCGGGCUGGCAAGCGGCGGCGUGUACCGUACUGCUAAAUAUGUUGGGUGGCAACUGGUAGGGCCGUGAAGGCUGCGCGGCACUUGGGGACGCACAAAAAGGGAAAUAAUAAUCUAUAAUAAUGACCGAUGACCGGGUGGCGUUAGGCCGAUAGGGACAUAGGGUUACGGCAUCUCUGCAUCAGCGGUACGUCGGUGCGACAUGCAGCCGUGCGGCUCUUGCACUGCCGCACUGUCCUUUUCUGGUCGGGUUGCCACUUGCCAGCACACACACACACACAUACAGACACCUGCGCCAACGGCCUACCUGCCCGAAUUCUCCACCUUCGGUGGAUUCGGGGCAAUGGGGCAAAUUCCUAAAGUGCAAAUGGAGGAUACUGCUAGUACCUGCCCCCUACCUGCCACACCACCCCGCCAGGAACGCCGCAUCGGCACGGCCCCUGAGCUCGUCCUCCGAGCGAAAGGAGGCUGCGGUUUGGGGGGCAGGGGAGCGCAGGGGCAUGAGAGGGAGCAGGGGCGGCCGGAGGAGCAGGGGGAGGGGCAUCGGGGCGUGUUGCAAGAGGCGCAUUCCUGGGCUUGGGGCUGAACGGCUUGGAGAUGUUGUUCGGACCUGUUGCAAGAACACAAGUAAGCACGCCCAAAACACAGACGCGCAGUGCUCGUAUCUUGUAGAUGCCCUCAGGCACCCGGCAUCUACACAUGCGUAGAUGACCCUGACCGCGGCAUCUACACUUAAGCCCCCAAGCAGGGGGGGGGUACGAACUAAACCUCCAGACCCCAUGUCCCAAAACCUCCCGACCCCCCCUCCGGACCGACCGACCGACCCCCACCACCGUGCAACCCCUCAAAACCCCCUCAAAACCCUUUGGUUUUUAGCCAUGUCGGUGUCAAUCGACUGCUCUCGGCGAGCUCUACAAUUGUAUACCUCCGGUUCAGCUGGAGGCACAACUUGACUGGCAGCCAUGCCACACAUGUCCAUGUGUCCAUGGCCGACCACCGACCCUUCUGUCAGACUACCGGGGCGUGCGCUUAAGGUUACAAUUGCGCUGUACAUAUGAUGUUUGGGACUGUGUGCCGGAAGAGAUUGGUCGACUUUCUCCCGGGAUCAAGUGAAGAAUCCCGGGAUUCACGUCACGCUCGAUGGCCGGCAGCAGCCUUGUCGCCAUGGCCCACACGAAGCCUUGGCCGUUACAAGUUAGCAUCAGUUCGCAUAGUCUCCAUGACACCAGUGAGAGACGCUCCAGUGGGACUCUACGCUACUACGAUGCCGAUGUGGACGGACAUGCGGCCGCUUUCCAGAGGCCAAACGUUCUGCAAAUGCUUUAGUAUGUGCAUGCUAAUGUGUGCUAGUGCUUGUGCUAAUGGGAGGAGCGUUUAGAGGGGCGUAUAGGGCGCAGAGACGAAAUCUGGCAGUCCCACCCACAUCCGCGUGACGAAACCUUGGGGACCCCCGACCCCGACGACCGACCCUGAACUUUGAGGGCCCAUAACUUUGCAAUUACUACCCUGAUUGAAACUCUGAAAGUGGAUUUGGAGUCCUCGCGUCAAGCUCUUUCGUUUUAGAACAUGGGGCCUUUCCCAGUCGAAACUACCCCCCCCCUGCCCCAAGCCCCCCAAAACGUCUACGCUUCCCCCAUUUUUGCGCCAAAACCGGCCAAAAACGUCUACACAUGCGUAGAUGCGCGGCACCCAAACCCAAAAUUUUUUUGGGCGGAUUUUGGGCAGAUUUCUACAGUGUAGAUGGAAGAUACGAGCACUGCAGACGCGCCUCGAACCCCAUCUGGUAUCUGAGAUGCUCAGUGCCGGUCAGGUUGGUGUUUGUUAAUUCGGGGGGAGCAUAGUUGGUUUUCAUGCUGAUGGUGUGUGAAGAAGAUAGGCGAGGAGGGGUUGAAGCGGGGUUGAGCCCAAGGUUGAGCCGUGGGACUGCCAGGGUCGAGUGAGAGGAUGCGUGGCGCCAUUGCGGGGCAGCAUGCCAAGCAAGGGUAGAUUUGCAUUCGUCGAGUGUUUAUUGAGCCGCUCAACAUCAGUUUUAUCCGCUUUCAGCCGACACACCGGGAACUGGAGUCUCUUGAAGAUCAACUGCUCGACUGGCUUCUGACUCGAGUUAAGGCCUCGAGGCACAUGGAUAUAUGUCAUUGGAGCCGGUUGACACCAGACCUCGUUAGGCGCAUUGCUGAGUUUGCCAACGCGAACGAUGUGGCGGGGUCGUGGAUGCUCGUCGACCGCGCGACCGCAGCGGCCCUGCGUGGCAGCUAUUCUUUUAUAACACUUGGUCAAAAGCGGCAGUCUCGAUGGCGGACCCAUCGGGCCCAGCAGCCGUGGCCCAAGUAUGCCUUCGUGGCGCACUGGGGCCGCCCCGAGCCCUGGCGCUCGCUCAGCCUACCCCAGCGCGAGCGGCUGCUGUGCCUGGCCGCGUCCUCGGGCCACGUGCCCAGCCUGGACGCGGCCCUGGCGCAGUGCGGCUGCGCCCUGGAGCCGGAGGUGCUGACGGCGGCCGCCGCGGCCGGCAACCUGGCGGGCUGCGAGCGGCUGCUACAUGAGGGCUGCUCCUUUGACUGGGGCGCUCUCAGGCAGUCGGCGGAAGCGGGGCACUUGCGAGUUCUGCAGCUGCUGCUUGAAAGCUUCGAAUCAGUUCCCUUCAAGCUCUCGGACUUCUUGGCGAGGGCGGCCGAGGGCGCCUGCGCCGGCAGCCAGCCCCACGUCCUGGAAUGGCUGCAGCAGGCGCACGGCUACAGCCCCUGCUCAGGCAGCGCAGCAGCAACAGCUGCAGCCGUAGAGGUUGUAGUAGCUGCGGCGGAGGGUGGCCAGGUGGGGAUACUCGAGGGCCUGCUUGCCAGGAUGCCGGACGUGUUUCUUGGUGGGCAACACCAGCAGCAGCAGCAGCAGCAGCAGCAGCAGCAGCAGCAGCAGCAGCAGCAACUGCAAAACGAGCAGCAGGAAGGCGCGCCAGCAGCAGCAGCAGCAGCAGCAGCAGCAGCAGCAGCCAUGGCGGCAGAAGAAGACCCGUUAGCCGCCGUCUACUCGCGUCGCUUGCUGGCGGCGAUUGCCUACGGCUGCCCGCUGGAGGUGUUGGAGCGGCACUACCACUCGCACUGGCCCUGGCCGCCGCCCAUGCCGCCGCCCAUGCCGCCGCCACCGGCUGGCGACGGCGACAGCGAAGGGGAGGGCGACAGCGAAGGGGAGGGCGACAGCGAAGGGAAGGGCUCUGAGGACUCUGAGGGGGGCUUUGAAGAGGACUCUGAGGGGGGCUUUGAAGAGGACUCUGAGGGGGGCUUUGAAGAGGACUCUGAGGGGGGCUUUGAAGAGGACUCUGAGGGGGGCUUUGAAGAGGACUCUGAGGGGGGCUUUGAAGAGGACUCUGAGGGGGGCUUUGAAGAGGACUCUGAGGGGGGCUUUGAAGAGGACUCUGAGGGGGGCUUUGAAGGGGAAUCUGAUGAGGAGGGCGUUGAAGGGGACUCUGAGGAGGCCUUUGAGUUCCAGGACGAGGCGGAGGACGGCGGCGACAUCAUGGCGUGCAACUGGGGCCUCAUCUCGCUGCUUGACGCCGCCGUGGGCAGCCCCACACCCUGCUGGUCCGCCAAGCUCGACUUCCUGCUGGACGCUUGGGGGCCGGAGGUGGCGGGCCAGGUGCUGAGGGGCGAGCGCGGGAGUGUGCGGCUGCACCCGAAAUCCCGCCUAACCGCCGACUUGUGUGCGCGUCUGCGGCACCUGCACGAGCGCGGCAUGCCGCCUAGCCGGGCGGCGGUCGAGUGAGUCAGCUGUGUGUGUGUGUGUGUGUGUGUGUGUGUGUGUGUGUGUGUGUGUGUGUGUGUGUGUGUGUGUGUGUGUGUGUGUGUUUGUGUGUGUUUGUGUGUGUGUGUGUGUGUGUGUGUGUGGUGUGGUGUGUGUGGUGUGUGUUGUGUGUGUUGUGUGUGUGUGUGUUGUGUGUGUGUGUGUGUGUGUGUGUGUGUGUGUGUGUUUGCGCGUAUGUUAUGGGGGUGUGUUAAUGCGUGUAUGGGGCCUGAGCUUAUUCCUGUUGCUGCUGCAGUCCUUGGUUGUGGCCCUGAUCUGUACGUCGCUCUUGUGCUGGCUCCUCGCUCCAUGCCACGUCGUAAUAACCUGCGUGUCGGCAAACUCCAUGCACGCUUCCACCCCCGCACCCCCGGACCACUCCCCGUCCGCUAUCCUACUGUUCCUGGCUACGCCUUCACUUCUUAGAUAAUCAUGCAUGUAAAUCCCCCCCGCCCCCACCCGCACAGGUCCGCGGUCCGCGGCGGGCAAGCCGACGCGUUGGCGUACCUUUGGGAUGAGUGCAGACUGCCGGUGAAGCAGUGCGACAUUGACUAUGGGCUGAAGGCAAUCCUCGGCAAAGGGCCGGACAGCUAUCUCGACCUACUGAAGCUGUUGCGGGCGCGCCGCGGCGUGUUCCUGGGCACACGCCACGCGAAAGACAUGGCCACAGAUGAGGCCGUGCUUUGGCUGGCGGGGGUGGCUGUGGAUGGCAUGAGCAGCUGUAGCAGUAGCAGCAGCGGCGAGAGUAAUGCAGACAGCGGCAGCAGCAGCGGCAGCAGCAGCGAUGGCAGUAGCAGCGAAGGUGCGGAGGUGCCUGAGACGGAGGUGGAAGGAAAGGAGGAGGAGCGGAGGGUGGAAUCCAACGCGGCGGCCGGGGGAGCUGAGGAGCACGUGCACGUCAUCAGCAGUCGCCGGGAUGAUACGCAUGACACGGGCAGCAGCAGCAGCGGCAGUAGCAGAUCGGGUAGCAGCAGUGGCGGGGAACGCUGGCGUGAGGACUGGACUGACGCUUUCAAGGCCGCUGCCAGGCGCGGUGCAGGCCUUGCCGCCCUGCGUGCGUUGCGCGCUCGCGGCGCGGCGGUGGACCUGGGUGCGGUGGCGGAGGGCGGCAGCGAGGAGGCGCUGGAGUGGGCGGCGGCGGAGCUGGCAGCGGAGGGCAAGCUGCAGGUGUGUGCGUGCGGUCGGGUGGGAGGGAGGGUAGGCGUGUGUUUGGGUGCGUGGUUGGGUGGGCUGCGAAGCACACGGAGGCUGGCGGGAUGCUGAGGGCGGCAUGUUGCGUGGCUGAGGGCGGCAUGUUGCGUAGCUGGGGAGGCUGGGGGCUGGGGGCUGGGGCACUGGGGGCUGGGGGCUGGGGGCUGGGGGCUGGGGCGCUGGGGGCUGGGGGCUGGGGGCUGGGGGCUGGGGGCUGGGGGGCUGGGGGCUGCGUGGGUUUGUGCAAGGGCCACGUCGCCCAGUACGCCUUCCACCCGCCCUUCCACGCCCUGCCCUUUCCCGUCUCGGCUUAGUCGUUUGUUGUCUACUUGGUCCCCCAACAGCCGCUUUUGCAGCUGCAGUUCUCCUUACCACGCGACUGUUUCCUUACGGGAUUGGUUCAACGUUAACCCCAACAGCCGCUGAGGAACGACGAAGCCCGCGCUGUGUUCGAAGCUGGCAACGUGGCGGCACUGUACUGGCUGCUGUGCCGGCGCCUGCUGCCGCCGCCGCCGCCAGUGGGGCCUUGGUGGAGCCCGUACCUGCCCGGUGGCUGCUCCGGGCUGGGUGCGAGCGAGUUCUGGUGGGUGCAGCUGGCGGCGCACAUGGCGAUAUGGAGGCAGGGGCAGGGGCAGGGGCAGGGGCAGGGGCAGGGGCAGGGGCAGGGGCAGGGGCAGGGGCAGGGACAGGGGCAGGGGCAGGGGCAGGGGCAGGGGCAGGGGCAGGGGCAGGGGCAGGGGCAGGGGCAGGGGCAGGGGCAGGGGCAGGGGCAGGGGCAGGGGCAGGGGCAGGGGCAGGAGCAGGGGCAGGGGCAGGGGCAGGGGCAGGAGCAGGAGCAGGAGCAGGAGCAGGGGCAGGAGCAGGGGCAGGGGCAGGGGCAGGGGCAGGAGCAGGAGCAGGGGCAGGGGCAGGGGCAGGGGCAGGAGCAGGGGCAGGGGCAGGAGCAGGAGCAGGGGCAGGGGCAGGGGCAGGGGCAGGGGCAGGGGCAGGGGCAGGGGCAGGGGCAGGGGCGGGGGCAGGAGCAGGAGCAGGGGCAGGAGCAGGGGCAGGGGCAGGGGCAGGGGCAGGGGCAGGGGCAGGGGCAGGGGCAGGGGCAGGGGCAGGGGCAGGGGCAGGGGCAGGGGCAGGGGCAGGGGCAGGAGCAGGGGCAGGGGCAGGGGCAGGGGCAGCAGCUGCAGCUGCAGCUGCAGCUGCAGCCGCAGCAGCUACAGCCUCAGCACCUUCAGCCUCAGCAGGAGCGGAAGCGGAAGCGGGAGGACACGCCAGCAGGCCAGGAGCCCGACACGCCGCAGUUUGAUUCAGGCUGCCCGCACCUGCAGCCACAGGGACAGGAGCAGGGGAGCCAGCGCUGCUGCUGGGGAGCAGGUGUGUGGCAGGAGGUAGCGAGGGAUGCGGCGACUGUUGCGGCGGAGGCGCGGGCUCGCGGCGGGAGCAUGUUGGCGCCACACCAGCAGCGAUGGCUGGAGGCGAAGGCGCAGGCAUGUGUCGAGAGUGCGGCAGGCGGUGCGUGCAGGUGCGGGUGUAUGUGAUCCGGGGCUGUAGGUGCUUGCGGACAUGCAGGUGUGGAGCGUGCCGUGCCGUACCUCACAGGCGGGGGCGUGCCGUACCUCACAGGCGGGGGCGUGCCGUACCUCACAGGCGGGGGCGUGCCGUACCUCACAGGCGGGGGCGUGCCGUACCUCCUAGGGCCCGGUGUGGCCCUGUGCCGCGGCCCGCGGGCGCGCCUGGUGCGUGUGCCGCACACUCAGGAUUCUUUUCUUUAAGCCGUCAGCAUGCUUACAGCCAGCAAAAUAAUAACUCCCGGUGGCAAAAUAAUAACUCCCAGCGCCGGCAGCGCUAGCUGGCGCAGCAGGGCUACGGUAGUUUAUUUCUUGAGACGGAUAGAAUUGGUCGUUGCGGUGCCAGUGUGGUUGCUCGAGACGAAUGAGUGUGCGAUGGGACAGUGUUAAGGCAGGUUGGUGAAGUCCGUGAGUAGGGUGCAGCUGAUUCCCAGACCCCAGCAGAUGGCAAACAAUUUGGAACGCCAGUGCAGGAGAGUACAGGUAAUGGUCAUUGCGGUUCCACAGUUGACUCGGGCGGGCCGGCAAGCGGCGGUGUGUACCCUACUGCUAGGUAUGUUGGGUGGUAACUGGUAGGGCUGUCUGCAGUCAACUGUCACACCGGCUCUUUCGGUGUGCUGCUCGAUUGGAGUGCGCUGUUGCACAUGCGGUAGGCCGGCGGCUGGGUGUGCGAUGGGACGACAGGGUAAGGCGCAGGCUGGCGACCUGGCGUGCCGCACUGCUACGUGCUCGAUUGAUGAUGUUGGAGUUGGUGACAAGUUGUAGUUUGGCAUUAGGCACUCAGUAUCGAAUCGGCUGGAUUCCCACCUGGAUCAACAUGCAGCAGCACCGGCACCAACUGGUGUAGGUUCCCGGUAGUAAGUGAGGGAGCCGUCGUUCCCUCCAGCCGCCGAGAAACCAGGCCUCCGCAUUCUUCCCCGCCAGGACUCCACCGAAUUGGUGGAAGUGCGAUGAGACAGUGGUAAGGCAAGUUGGUAAAGUCCCGUAGGGUGCAGCUGAUUCCCAGAACCCAACAAAUUGGCAGCGGCAGGGCAGGAGUGCGCGGCUGGUCGAACGCCGCCGGAGUUACUGUACCGACAAGUUGCUGGCUGGCUGGAAGUUUGCUGAUGCGCAUUCCUCACGCUCCGGGCGCCCGGCCAGGCGAUAGCACCACACAGACGACGCACCGCAUCGCCACACUCGCUCGCCACACUCGCUCGAGCAGUCUGGUGUCACCCACCCAGCGUAGCCAACCUGCCUAAACCCUGUCCCAUCACACACCCAGCGUAGCAGCACGGCACCGGCGUACGGCACCGUAUCGCACUCGCAUUCGCAUUUAAGCAUUUAAGCAAUUCAAGCGCACCGCGAGUCCCUGCCUAAUGAUUCACCUGACGACACGCGUGUCGAUGCUGGGCCCGGCUGGGAAUGCGAUGGGAUUGGCUGGGCGCGCAGUCCCAAUAGUGUGCAGCGUAGUCCCGGUUGAUAGACCCCAGCUAGCGCGCAAUCGUCAUCCGGCAAUCAACGAUCCGGUUGCGAUUAGGUUGCGACAGGUUGCAAGGAAUGAGCGCGCGGCUGGUCGCACGGCUGGGCAUGCGGCUGGGAGUGAUGAUGUGAACCGCUGGGUCGGCUGUGACUCGACAGGCGGACCUGACGGCAGCCGCGGCGCUGUCACAUGAUGGGCGCGGUAGGUAUGAUUGACGCCCACUCCUUCAACCAGCCACAUCCUCAGCUGCCUUGGCAGACCGGCAUCCACACCAGCACCUUCACUGCUCCCGACAAGAUAUGGGAAAAGUGGGCUGCGCCCACACCACGUCUCUCGUUUGAGUGUGCGAUGGGACAGUUGUAAGGCAGGUUGGUGAAGUCCCGUAAGGUGCAGCUGGCCCCGCCCCGCAAGCGUCUACCUCAUCUUCCUCAGCCCAAAAACGCGGCCAGUGCUCGUAUCUUCCAUCUACACUGUAGAAAUCUGCCCAAAAUCCGCCGAAGGCGGAGAAAAAAUUUUGGGUUUGGGUGCCACGCAUCUACGCAGUGUAGACGGUUUUGGCCAGUUUGGGCGCAAAAAUGGGGGAAGCGUAGACGUUUUGGGGGGCUUGGGGCUUAAGUAGUAGAUGCCGCGGUCAGGGUCAUCUACGCAUGUGUAGAUGCCGGGUGCCUGAGGGCAUCUACAAGAUACGAGCACUGAACGCGGCUGUCUCUGGCAAUCGCGCCCAGCAGCGGGCGUCCAAAAAGUGGGCUGCGCCCACGCCACGUCUCUAGAUUGCAUUGGUUACAAGAGGGACCUGCUGACGCAGUUCACGAGCCAGUGACGUGGAGAACGAACACCCUGCUCUGGACCCCAGGGGCGUGCCGCCUGCAGCGCCGUCGGCCUACUCUAGCUCUAGUAGGCUUGCUCCCAUAGGACGCUCCUCCCGCCAUACCGAACAUGUUACUAGGUGCCAUCACUCUCUAGUCUGAGGCCGCAAGCGUCUACCUCAUCUCCCUCAGCCCGAGCAGCGGGCGCACAGCAGGCGCCAAUUGCAAAUCAAGCUCAUGCGCACAGCUCGACAUAUGUGCUCAGCGCUCGGGCGUGUGCGUACGCCACGUCAGCGCGCCUGACUGGCGGCUACCUGCUCUCUCUUAGACUCUCGCAAUACCGCCAGACAAUUUAUCAGCCAAUCACGCACCUGGCGCCACCGGCCAACGCACAUUGCCGUGAAUUUGCAGCAUGCCGUGCCCCGUGUGAUUGCCAUCCACUACCCGCGGCCUUGCACGGUGGCCAUGCAUACCUUACUUCCAGCGCCACCUUGCAGCUUGCACCUGGUGCCUACCCAUCCAGCUCGGCACGCACCAGCGCAGCGCACCCGCGGCCUUGUACGGCGGACACGCACGGCCUACACCACCCUACCUGCUUGCAGCGCCGGCACUAGUACCGCCCGUCGCUUGCCCCUUUGCUCCACACGCCACCAACCGCGCCCUCUGUCUUGUAAGCUCUCCUCCAUCCAACAGAAUAAUGGCCUAGAUUUCUCCUAGACUCCUGCAGCAGCCGUACACAGUGCCCAGAAUGUGGCCGCGCUCUUUACUACCUUUCUAAUGUCCUCCUCAACCAGCCCCAACUCCGCCGCCGCCACCACUCUCUCGCCGCGCCGGCCGCGCCAGCAGUUGCUGCUGCGGACUGCCGGCCCCAGAACCGCCGCCGCCCCUGUUUGUGAUGGUUGCCGCCGGCCGCUGCGGUACAGCCUUACUUAUUACCAGCAGCGCCGUCGCCGGACGUGGCUGCUGCUGGCGACGAAGCAGCAGGUGCGGCCGAGCGUGUCUCCUCGCUGGCACGAAUCCCGCCGUUGCCCACGACUUCCGGCGGCGGUGCCAUCGGCUCCUGCAGCCGGUGCAGCAGGUAGGCCUCCUGCUCCUCCGGGCUCUUCAGGCCCGCCCACUCCCAGUACGGCACCACAAGCACGCCGCCGCCCUCCCCGAACGCCCGCCGCAGCUGCCGAAUGCGCAUGGCCGUACCACCGUCCACAUCGGCGGGGUCCUGCGGCUGCUUUCGGUUGUAGAGGUACCGUUUCAGUCCAACCAGCUCCACUGCCGCCUGCUGCCCGUCACUCAGCCCCACCACCGCAGCCACUGGCGCCAGUAUGCCUGGCAAGAUAACGCCUGUUUGCAAGGACUGGAUGCUGGGGCCUUCCGUUGUCGUGAUAAGGCCCUGCUGCUCAAGCCGCCUCAGCGCUGCGAGGAGCUGUUUCUGGUUGUCAGGAGGAGGCUUGACAUCUGCUGCUCUCUCCGCUGCCACCGCCGCCGCCAUAGCCGCCUGCAGGCCGGGGCUGCCGCCCAGGGCCGCCGCCACCUCACCACCUAGCUCCCGCUGCGCCUGCCACAGCUGUGUGAGACCCGCAACUGCUGUAAAGCCCUCCCAACGGAUUGCUGCAUCGCGCGCCAGCUCAAUUGCUAGCUGCUGCAUGCCAGGGAAAGACGUGCCCCCGAGCACCGCCAUGGCCCACAGACUGCUUGAUAUGUCUUGUUGGUUUAGCGCCUGACUGUCGUGCUGCAGCAGCUCGCCCAGCCGGCCGACCACCGCCGCCUCCAAGCCGGCGUGCCGCAGCUGCAGCACCGCCAGUGCCCACAGCGUGUUUGCACAGUCCUGGCCAUUGCCCCUCUGCAUUGAUUCCCCUGCACCCGCAUCUAGCAGUCCCGGCGGCGGCUGGUGCCGCGUCAAUGCUAGGGCGUACAGCAGAUUGGCCCAAGCCUGAGGUGUUGCGCGGGCCAUGACGCCCGGCCGCAUUGCUGCGUCCACGGCGGCCGAAACCCACUGCCGCUGCUCCGUCGGCGCCUCCGGGCCCACUCCCAAACCCAUCUUAGCAAGGGCCCACGCCGAAUUGCCAACGUUCUGAGCCCCAUACCCGGCAAACCCCCGCCGCACAUCCUCCGCAGCCACCGCCGCCACCAGCUCUGCCUGCUUGCCGCCCAACUGCAGCCCCUCCAGCGCCAGCAGGAUGGUGGACAGGUCCUGCGGGGUAAAUGCUGCAGCGAGCUUCGGUGUCCGCAGCCGCUGCAGCGCCUCCCCGCACAGCGCCUCAACUGCUGCUCGGUAAUCUGGCCCCUUGCACCCAAGAGCUUUGAGAGCCCACAGGCUGGUGGCCAGCUCGUGCGGCUGCAUGCUGACACUGAACGAUGCAAUCGCCUCCGCCAGUGGCAGUAGAAGUUCUGCUGUAAUGCGGUACCCCAGCUUGGCGCACGCACACAGGCUGUUAGAUAUCCCCUGUGCUGUGAAGCCGUGCCCCACCGCCACUCGCAACCGAUGCGCCACAGCUGCCGCCAAGAUCUGCAGGCGUGGCGAUGAGGUGGGGUCCCAGCCCGAGCCGCCCCGCUGCUGCUGGUCUUGCUUGAGCUUGCCGAGCGCAUACAUAGCAUUUGAAAGCACCUGAGGCUGCGCGUCCACAAGGACCUCAGGAUCCACCAGCCGCUCCAGCAGCGCUGCUGCAAGUUGAGCCUCCGUGCCGCCGCCCCCGCCCGCAACUCCGGCUUUUCCCAGCGCCAACAGAGGAAUGCUGCAGUUCUUUGCGUCGCGGAUGCGCGGCACAAGCGGCAGGUAGGCCGGCGCAAGGGCGCCGAUAAUGCUGUUGCGUGCUACAGCCGUUGCCGCAGCUCCAGCGCGCGACUUCAGCUGCGCACAUUUGUGGAAAAUCACAUACGUCGCUUGCUUGGUUUAGGUCCCGCAACAUUUAUGUCGAGUGCAAUUUCUUCACGGCUUGGCCCCCCAACAAAGCGAUCCCCGCCCGCUUACCCUGCCGCACAGGUUGAACGCUGCAAACAUGGUGGUCACGUCUUUCCGGCCCUUCCACACUGAUAGCCGCUGGCUGAUCAGUGCUUGCAGCUCCUCCAGAGUCUGACACACAGUCAUGUCAUCCGCGGGGUCACGCCCGCUGCUGCCCCUGCCGCCGCUUCCGCUGCCCCCUCUGCCUCCGCCCGCCCUGCCUCCGCCGCCUGCCCUCCCCGCCGCCGCCUGCACACCCCACCGCCCACUGUUGGAACUACUGCCACCUCCAAUCCCUGCGGCCGCCGAGCAGCGCGGUGGGGAGGUGCUGUAGUGUGCUGGGAUGGAAGUAGCGGCGGCAGCGCGCGCCGGAAGCCGUCACUCGAGCAGCGGGCAUGGCUAUAACAAACGGUCGCGGCGCCUGGAGGCAGACUGAUGACCGAUUGCUGCCAUGUCCGCUGAGAUGGCUGUGCGCACCACCAAGGGAGCCCGCGAAGAGGCCGCUGGCGUGCAUAACGAGCAUCUCGGGCCCCCUCAGGGCCGCGAUCUAAUCCAGAGCGACUCUAUCAAGUUAUCUUUCUGAUCUAUUCAAACGCUACAGGCGUGCAUCGGUGGGAAAAGGCUGCAAGGAGCGAAAGGUCAGGUGCGUGUAGGUCGCUGGGGCAAAGUCGCUUAAGUACCUGUGGCUUGGUAUGGAUGAUAUAGCAUCUGUAACUGGGAAUCAGGUUGCCACUGGUGUUGAGGCGAUGGCGACCUGGCCGUGAAAUACACGGCCGAGGGCUGCAACACCCUCGCCCCUGAGCGACCUCCCAGUGCGCUCCAUCGGAAAGCCCUCCCCCAAGCCCUCGCGGCUGCUCUUCCCAUUUCCCGUCUUCCACCCGAACUAGUAUCCUCUCCACCGCGUACAAGCUCUGGCGUGAGUCCCUGCCCGCGUCAUUUGACACCCGUCGACCGCGACUUAGGUGCAAACGCAUGUCAGUUACACAUCCCGCCCGACACGAGAGGGGCAGAAAUGGCGGGGCAGACGGCCAGCCUGCUAAACAUGUAGAUAGCAAUACAAUAGCGCACAUCAAGCCCCUGCCUGCUUCACCUGGCCACCUUUGCUGACAUGUCUCUGACAUCCCUGUCUCAGCACAGUAAUGCCCCAAAGCUUGAGACGUCGUUCUCAGCGCGCAGGCUUUACGGUACCAACCGUGCGGUAUCAUUGCUACAUGAAGAGUGCACUGCCCCAACCAUUGAAGCAUCACAAGGUGCUUGCCUGCCGCCGCCGCCGCUGAUACGUACACGAUUGCUGCCACACAACCAACACAUCACACCCAACAAUCACAACAACAAAACAACUGAGACCCGCCGCCGCGCAACGCACACUGUACACGCUCCAGGGCCGAGAACGCAACACACACACAAGCACCUGACAUGCCUCAUCCAGGCAUGCGUCACUCAAUCGCCCACCGAGCUGAUCUCGCACACGCCGUUCGUGAGCCCCUGCGGCUGACAUGCCCGACCCUGCCGCCUUGGCACCGCCGCCCAUUGCCCCACCCCCAUGCUGCGUGCCAUGUAAUAAUGAAGCCAGGUCCCCAUCAAGCCGCAGCAUAUAUCCCCGCCAAGCCACCACACUCCUCUUGCCGCACGCUACCAACCACCACCAGCACAGGACCGGCACCUGCCUGUCCCCCUGUUUAGUUUGGGCUGGUAUUUGCAAACCCCCCGCCCCACCCUCCCCAUUGCCAACGCCAGCCAACCUCGCCCACCGCGCCGAAAUACACGCCGGCACCUCGCUCGUGCCUCUCGAGGCCUCCCAUCUUCCGUAGCUAGAGAUCCCUGUCCACGAGUAUCCACUUGGGCUCCAGCCCACUCCUGAUGCACACGCCAGCAUUAUCCAGGUCUGCAUGGUUUGCAUACCUGCCUAUCUACCGUGCACGCACACCUGCCUAGCUACGCAGACCUACCGUCCUUUUCGACCCGCCGACCCGCCUCCGCCCGCCGCCUCCCUCUGGCCGCCGUGCCGGCCGCACCAGCAGCUGCUGUUGUGGGUUGCCGCCAGAGCCGCCGCCGCCCUUGUUGCUGUUGGUGGUGGUGGUUGCGGGCUGGUGUGGCGCGGCCGUAGUGACAGCCGCAGCGCCGCCCACGGCACCCGCUGUCACUGUUUCCACCGCCACCGCCGGCUGCUGCAGCCGGCGCAGCAGGUAGGCCUCCUGCUCGGAAGGAGUCAGGAAGUCCCAUUCCCAGUACGGCACUAGUAGGACGCCGCCCUCCUUAAACGCCCGCCGCAGCUGCCGAAUGCGAAUGGCCGUACCCCCUUCCACAGCAGCGCUGGGGUCUUGCUGCUGCGUUUGUGUCAAGAGGUAACGUUUCGGUCCGAGGAACUCCACCGCCGCCUGCUGCCCGUCACUCAGCCGCACCACCGCAUCCACUGGCGCCAACACUCCUGGCGCGACAACGCCCGUCUGAAGGGACUGAACGGCUAGGCCCCCUGCUGCCUUGAGGCCCUGCUGCUCAAGCCGCCGCAGCGCUGCAACGACCUGCUUUUGAGUAUCUGAUGUGGGCUUGGCGUCUUCCCUCUCAGUAGUCACCGCCGCUGCCAUCGCCGCCUGCAGUCCGCUGCCGCUGCCCAGGGCCGCCGCCACCUCGCCGCCUAGCUCCUGCUGCGCCUGCCACAGCUGUUUGAGAUGCUCAGUUGUAAGACCCUCCCAACGGCUUACUGCUUCACGGGCCAGCUGAAUGGAUAGCUGCUUCAUGUCGGGAGAAUACGUGCCUCCGAACACAGCCAUGGCCCACAGGCUGUUGCAUACGUGCUGGUGCAGGACUGUGUCAGAGUCAUGCUGCAGCAGCUCGCCCAGCCGACCGCACACCGCCGCCUCCAAGCCAGCGUGCCGCAGCUGCAGCACCGCCAGCGCGUACAGCGUAUUGGCACAGUUCUGACCACCGGCACUACUGGCGCGCAUGGCUGCUACUGCUGCGCCCGAGUCAAGCAGCUCCGCCGGCGGCUGGUGGCGCAUCAACGCAAGCGCGUACAGCAGAUUGGACCAGGCCUGAGAUGUUGCGCGGGCCAUGGCGCCCGACUGCGUUGCUGCGUCCACCGCUGCUGAAACCCACUGCCGCUGCUCGGCCGGCGCCUCCGGGCCCGCCCCAAAUCCCAUCUUGGCUAGGGCCCACGCUGAGUUGCUGAGGUCCUGAGCGAUGUACCCGUCAAACCCCCGCCGCAUGUCCUCUUCGGCCACUGCCACCACCAGCUCUGCCUGCUCGCUGCAUAGCUGCAGCCCCUCCAGCGCCAGCAGGAUGUUGGAUAGCUGUUGCGGGAUAAAUGCUGCAGCGAGCUCCGGUUUCCGGAGCUGCUGCAGUGCCUCCCCGCACAGCGCCUCAACUGCUGACCGGUACUCUGGUCCUGUGCACCCCAGAGCUUUGAGAGCCCAUAGGCUGUUUGAAACAUCUUGCGGCUUGAAGCCGUGGCCCGCCACCGUUCUCAAGCGAGAAGCCACAGCUGCCGCCAAGGUCUGCAAGUGCGGAGAUGAGGUGGGGUCCCAGCCUGAGCCCCGCUGCUGCUGGUCUUGCUUGAGCUUGCCGAGCGCGUACAUGACAAUUGCGAGGUUCUGAGGUUCCGCCUUCCCAAGAACCUCAGGAUCCACUAGCCGCUCCAGCAGAGCUGCUGCAAGCUGAGCCUCCGUGCCGCCGCCGACCAAUCCAGCUUUGCCCAGCGCCCACAGCGGAAUGCUGCAGUUCUUUGCGUUGCGGAUGCGCGGCACGAGCGGCAGGUAGGCCGGCGCAAGCAUGCCGAUAAUGCUGCUGCGUGCUACAGCCGUUUGGCUUGCUCCAGCGCGCGACUCCAGCUGCGUUCAAAGCAGUUAUGAGGGACAUACAUGGGGUCAAGUGCUAUAUGCAUGUGUUUGUGCGUGUGCGUGAACAGGUGCGCAUGCAAGUCCUGUGUGGCCAUCUGCGUCGUGAGAACCGGAAGUCCGGGCCGAGAACGACAACAAUGGACUCGCCCUCCAUUCUGCACUUCAUUUCUGUGCCCAUUCCCACCUGCACGUAUUAGUCCUCCCUCUCACCUUGCCGCACAGGUUGAACGCCGCACACAUGGUAAUGAAGUCUUUUCGGCCCUCCCACACUGAUAGCCGCUGGCUGAUGAUUGCUUGCAGCUCCUCCAGAGUCCGACACACGGUCAUGUCAUCCGCGGGGUCACGCCCGCUGCCCCUGCUUCUGCCGCUGGCGCGGCUGCCAUCGCCUGCCCUGCCUCCGCCGCUUCCCCUACCCGCCGCCGCCUGCACUAUUGGCCGCCCGAGGCGGGAGCUACUGCUGCCGCAGAGCACUACCGCCGUCGAGACGCGCAGUGGGGAUGAGCUGCUACUGUUGAGUGCUGGGACAGAAGUAGCGGCGGCAGCGCGCGGUGAGCUGGGGCCGGUGUCGGCAGCGGUCCGAUGCAUGCCAUAAACGAACAGUCUUCUAAACGCGCACGCCGGUGGCGGUGCCUGGAGACGGGCUGAUAACGAUUGGCUACAGCCAUGUACGCUGUGCCUGUGCGCACCAGCGGGAGAGCCCGCGACGACGCGCAGGGCGAGCAUCUCGGGCCUCCUCACGGCGGCGACCUGAGCUAUAGCGACUCUAUCCGUCUACGUGUCUGAGCACUGCAAAUGCAUUAGGCUUGCAUUUGUGGGAGAAUAACGCAAGGAACGAAAGGUCAGGUGCGUGUAGGUCGCUGGGCCAAAGCCGCCUGAGUAGCUGUGGCUUGGUAUGGAUGAUAAAGCAACUGAAUCAAUUUGCCACCGGUGUUGAGGCGAGGGCGACCUGACCGCGAAAUACACGGCCCGAGGGCACGCCCCGUAUCAACACCCCUCGCGACCUCCAAACACGUGCACUGAACCGCGAAGCCCUCCCCCAAGCCUAUCGCGGCUGCUAUUCCCAUGUCCUCCUCCCCAACCAUUCUGCAUACAGGCUCUGGCGUGAGUCCCUGCCCGCGUCAUUUGACACCCGUCGACCACGACUGAGGUGCAACGCAUGUCGCUUACAAAUCCAACAUCCCGCCCGACACGAGAGGGGCAGAAACGGCGGGGCAGACGGCCAGCCUCUUGAACAUGAGCAUAGCAGUGCAAUAUCGCACAUUGGGUCCCCGCCUGCUUCACCUGGCCACCUUUGCUGAUUUGUCUGACAUCCCUGUCUACACACUUUUAUCCGCCCACGCUUGAGACGUCCUCCUCAGCGCGCAGGCUUCACGGUACCAACCGUGCGGUAUCAUCGCUACAUGAUGAGUGCACUGCCCCAACCAUUGAAGCAUCACAAGGUGCUUGCCUGCCGCCGCCGCCGCUGAUACGUACACGAUUGCUGCCACACAACCAACACAUCACACCCAACAAUCACAACAACAAAACAACUGAGACCCGCCGCCGUGCAACGCACACUGUACACGCCCCAGGGCCGAGAACACAACGCAACACAAGCACCUGACAUGCCUCAUCCAGGCAUGCGUCACUCAAUCGCCCACCGAGCCGACCUCGCACACGCCGUUCGUGAGCCCCUGCGGCUGACAUGCCCGGCCCUGCCCCCUUGGCACCGCAGCCCUGCCGCCUUGGCACCGCCGCCCAUUGCCCCACCCCCAUGCUGCGUGCCAUGUAAGAAUAAAGCCAGGUCCCCAUCAAGCCGCAGCAUAUAUCCCCGCCAAGCCACCAGACUCCUCUUGCCGCACGCUACCAACCACCACCAGCACAGGACCGGCACCUGCCUGUCCCCCUGUUUAGUUUGGGCUGAUAUUUACAACCCCCCACCCUCCCCUCCCCACCUUCCCCAUUGCCAACCUCGCCCACCGCGCCGACAUGCACGCCGGCACCUCGCUCGUGCCUCUCGAGGCCUCCCAUCUUCCGUAGCUAGAGAUCCCUGUCCACGAGUAUCCACUUGGGCUCCAGCCCACUCCUGAUGCACACGCCGGCAUUACCCAGGUCUGCAUGGUUUGCAUGCCUGCCUGUCUACCGUGCACGCACACCUGCCUAGCUACGCAGACCUACUACCGUCCUUUUUGACCCGCCUCCGCCGCCACCGCCGCCGUCUCCUCCCUCUGGCCGCCGUGCCGGCCGCGCCAGCAGCUGCUGUUGUGGGUUGCCGCCAGAGCCGCCGCCGCCCUUGUUGCUGUUGGUGGUGGUGGUUGCGGGCUGGUGUGGCGCGGCCGUAGUGACAGCCGCAGCGCCGCCCACGGCACCCGCUGUCACUGUUUCCACCGCCACCGCCGGCUGCUGCAGCCGGCGCAGCAGGUAGGCCUCCUGCUCGGAAGGAGUCAGGAAGUCCCAUUCCCAGUACGGCACUAGUAGGACGCCGCCCUCCUUAAACGCCCGCCGCAGCUGCCGAAUGCGAAUGGCCGUACCCCCUUCCACAGCAGCGCUGGGGUCUUGCUGCUGCGUUUGUGUCAAGAGGUAACGUUUCGGUCCGAGGAACUCCACCGCCGCCUGCUGCCCGUCACUCAGCCGCACCACCGCAUCCACUGGCGCCAACACUCCUGGCGCGACAACGCCCGUCUGAAGGGACUGAACGGCUAGGCCCCCUGCUGCCUUGAGGCCCUGCUGCUCAAGCCGCCGCAGCGCUGCAACGACCUGCUUUUGAGUAUCUGAUGUGGGCUUGGCGUCUUCCCUCUCAGUAGUCACCGCCGCUGCCAUCGCCGCCUGCAGUCCGCUGCCGCUGCCCAGGGCCGCCGCCACCUCGCCGCCUAGCUCCUGCUGCGCCUGCCACAGCUGUUUGAGAUGCUCAGUUGUAAGACCCUCCCAACGGCUUACUGCUUCACGGGCCAGCUGAAUGGAUAGCUGCUUCAUGUCGGGAGAAUACGUGCCUCCGAACACAGCCAUGGCCCACAGGCUGUUGCAUACGUGCUGGUGCAGGACUGUGUCAGAGUCAUGCUGCAGCAGCUCGCCCAGCCGACCGCACACCGCCGCCUCCAAGCCAGCGUGCCGCAGCUGCAGCACCGCCAGCGCGUACAGCGUAUUGGCACAGUUCUGACCACCGGCACUACUGGCGCGCAUGGCUGCUACUGCUGCGCCCGAGUCAAGCAGCUCCGCCGGCGGCUGGUGGCGCAUCAACGCAAGCGCGUACAGCAGAUUGGACCAGGCCUGAGAUGUUGCGCGGGCCAUGGCGCCCGACUGCGUUGCUGCGUCCACCGCUGCUGAAACCCACUGCCGCUGCUCGGCCGGCGCCUCCGGGCCCGCCCCAAAUCCCAUCUUGGCUAGGGCCCACGCUGAGUUGCUGAGGUCCUGAGCGAUGUACCCGUCAAACCCCCGCCGCACGUCCUCUGCGGCCACUGCCACCACCAGCUCUGCCUGCUCGCUGCAUAGCUGCAGCCCCUCCAGCGCCAGCAGGAUGUUGGAUAGCUGUUGCGGGAUAAAUGCUGCAGCGAGCUCCGGUUUCCGGAGCCGCUGCAGUGCCUCCCCGCACAGCGCCUCAACUGCUGACCGGUACUCUGGUCCUGUGCACCCCAGAGCUUUGAGAGCCCAUAGGCUGUUUGAAACAUCUUGCGGCUUGAAGCCGUGGCCCGCCACCGUUCUCAAGCGAGAAGCCACAGCUGCCGCCAAGGUCUGCAAGUGUGGCGAUGAGGUGGGGUCCCAGCCUGAGCCCCGCUGCUGCUGGUCUUGCUUGAGCUUGCCGAGCGCGUACAUGACAAUUGCGAGGUUCUGAGGUUCCGCCUUCCCAAGAACCUCAGGAUCCACUAGCCGCUCCAGCAGAGCUGCUGCAAGCUGAGCCUCCGUGCCGCCGCCGACCAAUCCAGCUUUGCCCAGCGCCCACAGCGGAAUGCUGCAGUUCUUUGCGUUGCGGAUGCGCGGCACGAGCGGCAGGUAGGCCGGCGCAAGCAUGCCGAUAAUGCUGCUGCGUGCUACAGCCGUUUGGCUUGCUCCAGCGCGCGACUCCAGCUGCGUUCAAAGCAGUUAUGAGGGACAUACAUGGGGUCAAGUGCUAUAUGCAUGUGUUUGUGCGUGUGCGUGAACAGGUGCGCAUGCAAGUCCUGUGUGGCCAUCUGCGUCGUGAGAACCGGAAGUCCGGGCCGAGAACGACAACAAUGGACUCGCCCUCCAUUCUGCACUUCAUUUCUGUGCCCAUUCCCACCUGCACGUAUUAGUCCUCCCUCUCACCUUGCCGCACAGGUUGAACGCCGCACACAUGGUAAUGAAGUCUUUUCGGCCCUCCCACACUGAUAGCCGCUGGCUGAUGAUUGCUUGCAGCUCCUCCAGAGUCCGACACACGGUCAUGUCAUCCGCGGGGUCACGCCCGCUGCCCCUGCUUCUGCCGCUGGCGCGGCUGCCAUCGCCUGCCCUGCCUCCGCCGCUUCCCCUACCCNNNNNNNNNNNNNNNNNNNNNNNNNNNNNNNNNNNNNNNNNNNNNNNNNNNNNNNNNNNNNNNNNNNNNNNNNNNNNNNNNNNNNNNNNNNNNNNNNNNNGAGAAUAACGCAAGGAACGAAAGGUCAGGUGCGUGUAGGUCGCUGGGCCAAAGCCGCCUGAGUAGCUGUGGCUUGGUAUGGAUGAUAAAGCAACUGAAUCAAUUUGCCACCGGUGUUGAGGCGAGGGCGACCUGACCGCGAAAUACACGGCCCGAGGGCACGCCCCGUAUCAACACCCCUCGCGACCUCCAAACACGUGCACUGAACCGCGAAGCCCUCCCCCAAGCCUAUCGCGGCUGCUAUUCCCAUGUCCUCCUCCCCAACCAUUCUGCAUACAGGCUCUGGCGUGAGUCCCUGCCCGCGUCAUUUGACACCCGUCGACCACGACUGAGGUGCAACGCAUGUCGCUUACAAAUCCAACAUCCCGCCCGACACGAGAGGGGCAGAAACGGCGGGGCAGACGGCCAGCCUCUUGAACAUGAGCAUAGCAGUGCAAUAUCGCACAUUGGGUCCCCGCCUGCUUCACCUGGCCACCUUUGCUGAUUUGUCUGACAUCCCUGUCUACACACUUUUAUCCGCCCACGCUUGAGACGUCCUCCUCAGCGCGCAGGCUUCACGGUACCAACCGUGCGGUAUCAUCGCUACAUGAUGAGUGCACUGCCCCAACCAUUGAAGCAUCACAAGGUGCUUGCCUGCCGCCGCCGCCGCUGAUACGUACACGAUUGCUGCCACACAACCAACACAUCACACCCAACAAUCACAACAACAAAACAACUGAGACCCGCCGCCGUGCAACGCACACUGUACACGCCCCAGGGCCGAGAACACAACGCAACACAAGCACCUGACAUGCCUCAUCCAGGCAUGCGUCACUCAAUCGCCCACCGAGCCGACCUCGCACACGCCGUUCGUGAGCCCCUGCGGCUGACAUGCCCGGCCCUGCCCCCUUGGCACCGCAGCCCUGCCGCCUUGGCACCGCCGCCCAUUGCCCCACCCCCAUGCUGCGUGCCAUGUAAGAAUAAAGCCAGGUCCCCAUCAAGCCGCAGCAUAUAUCCCCGCCAAGCCACCAGACUCCUCUUGCCGCACGCUACCAACCACCACCAGCACAGGACCGGCACCUGCCUGUCCCCCUGUUUAGUUUGGGCUGAUAUUUACAACCCCCCACCCUCCCCUCCCCACCUUCCCCAUUGCCAACCUCGCCCACCGCGCCGACAUGCACGCCGGCACCUCGCUCGUGCCUCUCGAGGCCUCCCAUCUUCCGUAGCUAGAGAUCCCUGUCCACGAGUAUCCACUUGGGCUCCAGCCCACUCCUGAUGCACACGCCGGCAUUACCCAGGUCUGCAUGGUUUGCAUGCCUGCCUGUCUACCGUGCACGCACACCUGCCUAGCUACGCAGACCUACUACCGUCCUUUUUGACCCGCCUCCGCCGCCACCGCCGCCGUCUCCUCCCUCUGGCCGCCGUGCCGGCCGCGCCAGCAGCUGCUGUUGUGGGUUGCCGCCAGAGCCGCCGCCGCCCUUGUUGCUGUUGGUGGUGGUGGUUGCGGGCUGGUGUGGCGCGGCCGUAGUGACAGCCGCAGCGCCGCCCACGGCACCCGCUGUCACUGUUUCCACCGCCACCGCCGGCUGCUGCAGCCGGCGCAGCAGGUAGGCCUCCUGCUCGGAAGGAGUCAGGAAGUCCCAUUCCCAGUACGGCACUAGUAGGACGCCGCCCUCCUUAAACGCCCGCCGCAGCUGCCGAAUGCGAAUGGCCGUACCCCCUUCCACAGCAGCGCUGGGGUCUUGCUGCUGCGUUUGUGUCAAGAGGUAACGUUUCGGUCCGAGGAACUCCACCGCCGCCUGCUGCCCGUCACUCAGCCGCACCACCGCAUCCACUGGCGCCAACACUCCUGGCGCGACAACGCCCGUCUGAAGGGACUGAACGGCUAGGCCCCCUGCUGCCUUGAGGCCCUGCUGCUCAAGCCGCCGCAGCGCUGCAACGACCUGCUUUUGAGUAUCUGAUGUGGGCUUGGCGUCUUCCCUCUCAGUAGUCACCGCCGCUGCCAUCGCCGCCUGCAGUCCGCUGCCGCUGCCCAGGGCCGCCGCCACCUCGCCGCCUAGCUCCUGCUGCGCCUGCCACAGCUGUUUGAGAUGCUCAGUUGUAAGACCCUCCCAACGGCUUACUGCUUCACGGGCCAGCUGAAUGGAUAGCUGCUUCAUGUCGGGAGAAUACGUGCCUCCGAACACAGCCAUGGCCCACAGGCUGUUGCAUACGUGCUGGUGCAGGACUGUGUCAGAGUCAUGCUGCAGCAGCUCGCCCAGCCGACCGCACACCGCCGCCUCCAAGCCAGCGUGCCGCAGCUGCAGCACCGCCAGCGCGUACAGCGUAUUGGCACAGUUCUGACCACCGGCACUACUGGCGCGCAUGGCUGCUACUGCUGCGCCCGAGUCAAGCAGCUCCGCCGGCGGCUGGUGGCGCAUCAACGCAAGCGCGUACAGCAGAUUGGACCAGGCCUGAGAUGUUGCGCGGGCCAUGGCGCCCGACUGCGUUGCUGCGUCCACCGCUGCUGAAACCCACUGCCGCUGCUCUGCCGGCGCCUCCGGGCCCGCCCCAAAUCCCAUCUUGGCUAGGGCCCACGCUGAGUUGCUGAGGUCCUGAGCGAUGUACCCGUCAAACCCCCGCCGCAUGUCCUCUUCGGCCACUGCCACCACCAGCUCUGCCUGCUCGCUGCAUAGCUGCAGCCCCUCCAGCGCCAGCAGGAUGUUGGAUAGCUGUUGCGGGAUAAAUGCUGCAGCGAGCUCCGGUUUCCGGAGCUGCUGCAGUGCCUCCCCGCACAGCGCCUCAACUGCUGACCGGUACUCUGGUCCUGUGCACCCCAGAGCUUUGAGAGCCCAUAGGCUGUUUGAAACAUCUUGCGGCUUGAAGCCGUGGCCCGCCACCGUUCUCAAGCGAGAAGCCACAGCUGCCGCCAAGGUCUGCAAGUGCGGAGAUGAGGUGGGGUCCCAGCCUGAGCCCCGCUGCUGCUGGUCUUGCUUGAGCUUGCCGAGCGCGUACAUGACAAUUGCGAGGUUCUGAGGUUCCGCCUUCCCAAGAACCUCAGGAUCCACUAGCCGCUCCAGCAGAGCUGCUGCAAGCUGAGCCUCCGUGCCGCCGCCGACCAAUCCAGCUUUGCCCAGCGCCCACAGCGGAAUGCUGCAGUUCUUUGCGUUGCGGAUGCGCGGCACGAGCGGCAGGUAGGCCGGCGCAAGCAUGCCGAUAAUGCUGCUGCGUGCUACAGCCGUUUGGCUUGCUCCAGCGCGCGACUCCAGCUGCGUUCAAAGCAGUUAUGAGGGACAUACAUGGGGUCAAGUGCUAUAUGCAUGUGUUUGUGCGUGUGCGUGAACAGGUGCGCAUGCAAGUCCUGUGUGGCCAUCUGCGUCGUGAGAACCGGAAGUCCGGGCCGAGAACGACAACAAUGGACUCGCCCUCCAUUCUGCACUUCAUUUCUGUGCCCAUUCCCACCUGCACGUAUUAGUCCUCCCUCUCACCUUGCCGCACAGGUUGAACGCCGCACACAUGGUAAUGAAGUCUUUUCGGCCCUCCCACACUGAUAGCCGCUGGCUGAUGAUUGCUUGCAGCUCCUCCAGAGUCCGACACACGGUCAUGUCAUCCGCGGGGUCACGCCCGCUGCCCCUGCUUCUGCCGCUGGCGCGGCUGCCAUCGCCUGCCCUGCCUCCGCCGCUUCCCCUACCCGCCGCCGCCUGCACUAUUGGCCGCCCGAGGCGGGAGCUACUGCUGCCGCAGAGCACUACCGCCGUCGAGACGCGCAGUGGGGAUGAGCUGCUACUGUUGAGUGCUGGGACAGAAGUAGCGGCGGCAGCGCGCGGUGAGCUGGGGCCGGUGUCGGCAGCGGUCCGAUGCAUGCCAUAAACGAACAGUCUUCUAAACGCGCACGCCGGUGGCGGUGCCUGGAGACGGGCUGAUAACGAUUGGCUACAGCCAUGUACGCUGUGCCUGUGCGCACCAGCGGGAGAGCCCGCGACGACGCGCAGGGCGAGCAUCUCGGGCCUCCUCACGGCGGCGACCUGAGCUAUAGCGACUCUAUCCGUCUACGUGUCUGAGCACUGCAAAUGCAUUAGGCUUGCAUUUGUGGGAGAAUAACGCAAGGAACGAAAGGUCAGGUGCGUGUAGGUCGCUGGGCCAAAGCCGCCUGAGUAGCUGUGGCUUGGUAUGGAUGAUAAAGCAACUGAAUCAAUUUGCCACCGGUGUUGAGGCGAGGGCGACCUGACCGCGAAAUACACGGCCCGAGGGCACGCCCCGUAUCAACACCCCUCGCGACCUCCAAACACGUGCACUGAACCGCGAAGCCCUCCCCCAAGCCUAUCGCGGCUGCUAUUCCCAUGUCCUCCUCCCCAACCAUUCUGCAUACAGGCUCUGGCGUGAGUCCCUGCCCGCGUCAUUUGACACCCGUCGACCACGACUGAGGUGCAACGCAUGUCGCUUACAAAUCCAACAUCCCGCCCGACACGAGAGGGGCAGAAACGGCGGGGCAGACGGCCAGCCUCUUGAACAUGAGCAUAGCAGUGCAAUAUCGCACAUUGGGUCCCCGCCUGCUUCACCUGGCCACCUUUGCUGAUUUGUCUGACAUCCCUGUCUACACACUUUUAUCCGCCCACGCUUGAGACGUCCUCCUCAGCGCGCAGGCUUCACGGUACCAACCGUGCGGUAUCAUCGCUACAUGAUGAGUGCACUGCCCCAACCAUUGAAGCAUCACAAGGUGCUUGCCUGCCGCCGCCGCCGCUGAUACGUACACGAUUGCUGCCACACAACCAACACAUCACACCCAACAAUCACAACAACAAAACAACUGAGACCCGCCGCCGCGCAACGCACACUGCUGUACACGCCCCAGGGCCGAGAACACAACGCAACACAAGCACCUGACAUGCCUCAUCCAGGCAUGCGUCACUCAAUCGCCCACCGAGCCGACCUCGCACACGCCGUUCGUGAGCCCCUGCGGCUGACAUGCCCGGCCCUGCCCCCUUGGCACCGCAGCCCUGCCGCCUUGGCACCGCCGCCCAUUGCCCCACCCCCAUGCUGCGUGCCAUGUAAGAAUAAAGCCAGGUCCCCAUCAAGCCGCAGCAUAUAUCCCCGCCAAGCCACCACACUCCUCUUGCCGCACGCUACCAACCACCACCAGCACAGGACCGGCACCUGCCUGUCCCCCUGUUUAGUUUGGGCUGAUAUUUACAACCCCCCACCCUCCCCUCCCCACCUUCCCCAUUGCCAACCUCGCCCACCGCGCCGACAUACACGCCGGCACCUCGCUCGUGCCUCUCGAGGCCUCCCAUCUUCCGUAGCUAGAGAUCCCCAUCCACUAGCAUCCACUUGGGCUCCAGCCCACUCCUGAUGCACACGCCAGCAUUAUCCAGGUCUGCAUGGUUUGCAUGUCUGCCUACCGUGCACGCACACCUGCCUAGCUACGCCGACCUACUACCGUCCUCCUCGACCCGACCCGCCGCCGCCGCCGCCUCCCUCUGGCCGCCGUGCCGGCCGCACCAGCAGCUGCUGUUGUGGGUUGCCGCCAGAGCCGCCGCCGCCCUUGCUGGUAGUGGUGGUGGUUGCGGGCUGCUGCGGCGCGGCCGUAAUGACAGCCGCAGCGCCGCCCACGGCACCCACUGCCACUGUUUCCACCGCCACCGCCGGCUGCUGCAGCCGGCGCAGCAGGUAGGCCUCCUGCUCCUCCGGGCUCUUCAGGCCCGCCCACUCCCAGUACGGCAGCACAAGAACGCCGCCGCCCUCCCCGAACGCCCGCCGCAGCUGCCGAAUGCGCAUGGCCGUACCACCGUCAACAGCGGUGGGGUCGCGCUUUAGAUUGGACAGAAAGCGUGCCGGUCCGAGGAGCUCCACCGCCGCCUGCUGCCCGUCACUCAGCCGCACCACCGCAUCCACUGGCGCCAACGCGCCUUGCGCGACCACGCCCGUUUGUACGGACACGACGGCAAGGCCUCCUGCUGCCUCACGCCCCUGGUGCUGCUCAAGCCGCCGCAGCGCUGCGACGACCUGCUUUUGGAUGUCAGAUGUGGGCUUGGCGUUUUCCCUCUCAGCAGUCACCGCCGCUGCCAUCGCCGCCUGCAGGCCGGGGCUGCUCCCCAGGGCCGCCGCAACCUCGCCGCCUAGCUCUUGCUGCGCCUGCCACAGCUGAUUGAGAUUCUCAGUUGUAAAACCCUCCCAACGGCUUACUGCUUCACGGGCUAGCUGAAUGGAUAGCUGCUGCAUGUCGGGAGAAUACGUGCCUCCAAUCACCGCCAUGGCCCACAGGCUGUUUGAUAUGUUUUGGUUGUUUACCGCCUGCCUGUCGCGCUGCAGCAGCUCGCCCAGCCGGCCGCACACCGCCGCCUCCAAGCCAGCGUGCCGCAGCUGCAGCACCGCCAGCGCCCAGAGCGUGUUUGCACAGUUCUGACCACCGGCACUACUGGCGCGCAUGGCUGCUGCUGCUGCACCCGCAUCCAGCAGCUCCGGCGGCGGCUGGUGGCGCAUCAACGCAAGCGCGUACAGCAGGUUGGCCCAGGCCUGAGGCGUCGCACGGGCCAUGACGCCCGGCCGCAUUGCUGCGACCACCGCUGCCGAAGCCCACUGCCGCUGCUCUGCCGGCGCCUCCGGGCCCACCCCAAAUCCGAUCUUGGCCAGGGCCCACGCUGAGUUGCUGAGGUCCUGAGCCACGUACCCGGCAAAUCCCCGACGCACGUCCUCUGCGGCCACUGCCACCACCAGCUCUGCCUGCUCGCCGCCCAGCUGCAGCCCCUCCAGCGCCAGCAGGAUGUUGGACAGAUGCUGCGGCUUGAACGCUUCAGCAUCCUUCGGUGCUCGGAGCUGCCGCAGCGCCUCCCCGCACAGCGCCUCAACUGCUGAUCGGUACUCUGGUCCCAUGCAACCCAAAGCCGCAAACGCCCAGAGGGUAUUGGACAGAUGUUGCGUCUCCAUGCUGAGACUGAGCGCCGCUGCCGCCUCUGCCAGCGGCAGCAGGAGUUCCGGUUCCGGGUAACCCAGCUUGGCGCACGCCCAGAGAAUGUUGGACACGUCCUGUGCUGUGAAGCCGUGACCAACCGCCACUCCCAACCGGGAGGCCACAGCUGCCGCCAAGGUCUGCAAGUGCGGAGAUGAGGUGGGGUCCCAGCCUGAGCCCCGCUGCUCCUGGUCUUGCUUGAUCUUGCCGAGUGCGUACAUGACGUUUGUAAGACUUUGAGGUUUUGCAGUUCCAAGAACCUCUGAAUCCAACAGCCGCUCCAGCAGCGCUGCUAUGAGCUGAGCCUCCAUGGCCGAGCCGCCGCUGAUCCCUGCUUUCCCCAGCGCCCACAGCACGAUGCUGCAAUCAACCGCCUUGCGGAUGCGCGGCACGAGCGGCAGGUAGGCCGGCGCAAGCAUGCCGAUAAUGCUGCUGCGUGCUACAGCCGUUUGGCUUGCUCCAGCGCGCGACUCCAGCUGCGUUCAAAACAGUUAUGAGGGACAUACAUGGGGUCAAGUGCUAUAUGCAUGUGUUUGUGCGUGUGCGUGAACAGGUGCGCAUGCAAGUCCUGUGUGGCCAUCUGCGUCGUGAGAACCGGAAGUCCGGGCCGAGAAUGACAACAAUUGGACUCGCCCUCAAUUCUGCACUUUAUUUCUCUGCCCAUUCCCACCUGCACGUUUUAGUCCUCCCUCUCACCUUGCCGCACAGGUUGAACGCCGCACACAUGGUAAUGAAGUCUUUUCGGCCCUCCCACACUGAUAGCCGCUGGCUGAUGAUAGCUUGCAGGUCCUCCAGAGUCCGACACACGGUCAUGUCAUCCGCGGGGUCACGCCCGCUGCCCCUGCUUCUGCCGCUGGCGCGGCUGCCAUCGCCUGCCCUGCCUCCGCCGCUUCCCCUACCCGCCGCCGCCUGCACUAUUGGCCGCCCGAGGCGGGAGCUACUGCUGCCGCAGAGCACUACCGCCGUCGAGACGCGCAGUGGGGAUGAGCUGCUACUGUUGAGUGCUGGGACAGAAGUAGCGGCGGCAGCGCGCGGUGAGCUGGGGCCGGUGUCGGCAGCGGUCCGAUGCAUGCCAUAAACGAACAGUCUUCUAAACGCGCACGCCGGUGGCGGUGCCUGGAGACGGGCUGAUAACGAAUGGCUACAGCCAUGUACGCUGUGCCUGUGCGCACCAGCGGGAGAGCCCGCGACGACGCGCAGGGCGAGCAUCUCGGGCCUCCUCACGGCGGCGACCUGAGCUAUAGCGACUCUAUCCGUCUACGUGUCUGAGCACUGCAAAUGCAUUAGGCUUGCAUUUGUGGGAGAAUAACGCAAGGAACGAAAGGUCAGGUGCGUGUAGGUCGCUGGGCCAAAGCCGCCUGAGUAGCUGUGGCUUGGUAUGGAUGAUAAAGCAACUGAAUCAAUUUGCCACCGGUGUUGAGGCGAGGGCGACCUGACCGCGAAAUACACGGCCCGAGGGCACGCCCCGUAUCAACACCCCUCGCGACCUCCAAACACGUGCACUGAACCGCGAAGCCCUCCCCCAAGCCUAUCGCGGCUGCUAUUCCCAUGUCCUCCUCCCCAACCAUUCUGCAUACAGGCUCUGGCGUGAGUCCCUGCCCGCGUCAUUUGACACCCGUCGACCACGACUGAGGUGCAACGCAUGUCGCUUACAAUUCCAACAUCCCGCCCGACACGAGAGGGGCAGAAACGGCGGGGCAGACGGCCAGCCUCUUGAACAUGAGCAUAGCAGUGCCAUAGCGCACAUUGGGUCCCCGCCUGCUUCACCUGGCCACCUUUGCUGAUUUGUCUGACAUCCCUGUCUACACACUUUUAUCCGCCCACGCUUGAGACGUCCUCCUCAGCGCGCAGGCUUCACGGUACCAACCGUGCGGUAUCAUCGCUACAUGAUGAGUGCACUGCCCCAACCAUUGAAGCAUCACAAGGUGCUUGCCUGCCGCCGCCGCCGCUGAUACGUACACGAUUGCUGCCACACAACCAACACAUCACACCCAACAAUCACAACAACAAAACAACUGAGACCCGCCGCCGCGCAACGCACACUGCUGUACACGCCCCAGGGCCGAGAACACAACGCAACACAAGCACCUGACAUGCCUCAUCCAGGCAUGCGUCACUCAAUCGCCCACCGAGCCGACCUCGCACACGCCGUUCGUGAGCCCCUGCGGCUGACAUGCCCGGCCCUGCCCCCUUGGCACCGCAGCCCUGCCGCCUUGGCACCGCCGCCCAUUACCCCACCCCCAUGCUGCGUGCCAUGUAAGAAUAAAGCCAGGUCCCCAUCAAGCCGCAGCAUAUAUCCCCGCCAAGCCACCACACUCCUCUUGCCGCACGCUACCAACCACCACCAGCACAGGACCGGCACCUGCCUGUCCCCCUGUUUAGUUUGGGCUGAUAUUUACAACCCCCCACCCUCCCCUCCCCACCUUCCCCAUUGCCAACCUCGCCCACCGCGCCGACAUGCACGCCGGCACCUCGCUCGUGCCUCUCGAGGCCUCCCAUCUUCCGUAGCUAGAGAUCCCCAUCCACUAGCAUCCACUUGGGCUCCAGCCCACUCCUGAUGCACACGCCAGCAUUAUCCAGGUCUGCAUGGUUUGCAUGUCUGCCUACCGUGCACGCACACCUGCCUAGCUACGCCGACCUACUACCGUCCUCCUCGACCCGACCCGCCGCCGCCGCCUCCGCCACCCUCUGGCCGCCGUGCCGGCCGCACCAGCAGCUGCUGUUGUGGGUUGCCGCCAGAGCCGCCGCCGCCCUUGGCGGUGGUGGUGGUGGCUGCGGCCGUAACAGCCGCAGCGCCGCCCUCGGCACCCACAGUCACUGCUCUCGCCACCGCCGGCUGCUGCAGCCGGCGCAGCAGGUAGGCCUUCUCCUCGGCAUUCGUCAGUGCGUCCCACUCCCAGUACGGCACCACAAGAACGCCACCGCCCUCCCCAAACGCCCGCCGCAGCUGCCGAAUGCGCAGGACGGUCCGUCCGUCCACGGCGCUUCGGCCAGAGCACGUUUGGUCGGAGAGGAAGCGUGUCGGUCCGACCAACUCCACCGCCACCUGCCGCCCGUCACUCAGCCCCACCACCGCAUCCACUGGCGCCAACACGCCUGGCGCGAAGACGCCCGUUUGCACGGACCGAACGGCAAGGCCUCCUGCUGCCUCACGGCCCUGGUGCUGCUCAAGCCGCCGCAGCGCUGCGACGACCUGCUUUUGGAUGUCAGAUGUGGGCUUGGCGUCUUCCCUCUCAGCAGUCACCGCCGCUGCCAUCGCUGCCUGCAGGCCGGGGCUGCUGCACAGGGCCGCCGCCACCUCGCCGCCUAGCUCCUGCUGCGCCUGCCACAACUGCCUGUGGCCCUCGCCGGAAAACCCCUCCCAACGGCCUGCUGCGUCGCGGGCCAGCUGAACUGCUAGCUGCUGCAUGCCAGGAAAAGACGUGCCCCCGAGCACCGCCAUGGCCCACAGGCUGUUUGAAAUGCCCUGUUCGGUUAGCGCCUUCCCGCCGCGCUGCAGCAGCUCGCCCAGCCGGCCGCACACCGCCGCCUCCACACCGGCGUGCCGCAGCUGCAGCACCGCCAGCGCGUACAGUGUAUUUGCACAGUCCUGACCAUCGGCACUACUGGCGCGCAUGGCUGCUGCUGCACCCGCGUCUAGCAGCGCAGGCGGCGGCUGGUGCCGCAUCAACGCAAGCGCGUACAGCAGGUUGGCCCACUCCUGCGGCGUGGCGCCGGUCAUGACGCCCGGCCGCAUUGCUGCGUCCACCGCUGCCGACACCCAUUGACGUUGCUCCGCCGGCGCCUCCGGGCCCACCCCAAACCCCAUCUUGGCCAGGGCCCACGCCGAGUUGUUAAGGUCCUGUGGAACGUACCCGGUAAACCCCCGCCGCACGUCCUCUGCGGCCACUGCCACCACCAGCCCUGCCUGUCCGCCACCCAGCUGCAGCCCCUCCAGCGCCAGCAGGACGUUGGACAGCUCCUGCGGCUUGAAUGCUGCAGCGAGUUCCGGUGUCCGGAGCUGCUGCAGCGCCUCCCCGCACAGCGCCUCAACCGCUGACCGGUACUCAAGCGCCUCCCGCAGCUUGCUUGUUCCGUACAUCGCAUUUGAAAGCUCCUGAGGCUUCGCCUUCGCAAGGACCUCUGGAUCCACCAGCCGCUCCAGCAGAGCUGCUGCAAGCUGAGCCUCCGUGCCGCCGCCGAACAAUCCAGCUUUGCCCAGCGCCCACAGCGGAAUGCUGCAGUCCCUUGCCUUGCGGAUGCGCGGCACGAGCGGCAGGUAGGCGGGCGCAAGCGUGCCGAUAAUGCUGCUGCGUGCUGCAGCCGUUGCUGCUGCCGGCCCGCCACUCGACUCCAGCUGCGUUAAUACGUAAAAGGACACAGAGUCACAUUGACCGCUUGCAUUGUUUAGGCCCCCAGCAAUUCUGUCGAGUGCUACGACUACAAGGCUUGGCCGCCCAACAAACAGGUCCCCCGCCCGCUCACCCUGCCGCACAGGUUGAACGCCGCACACAUGGUAAUGAAAUCUUUCCGCCCCUCCCACACUGGCAGCCGCUGGCUGAUGGUUGCUUGCAGCUCCUCCAGAGUCCGACACACAGUCAUGUCAUCCGCGGGGUCACGCCCGCUGCCCCUGCCGCUGCCUCCGCUGCCCCCUCUGCCUCCGCCCGCCAUGCCUCCGCCUCUGCCCCUGCCUCCGCCGCCGCUUCCCCUCCCCGCCGCCGCCUGCACAACUGGUCGCGCGAGGCGGGUGCUGCUGCUGCCACCCCGCAUUGCCACCAUCAAGCCGCGCAAUGAGAAGGGGCUGUAGCGUGCCCGGAGAGAAGCAGUGGCGGCAGCGCGCGCCGAGCUGGGGUCGGAAGCAGGUGCUCUGCUGGGCGCUAUGCCUCGAGCGGCGGGCAUCGCUGUAACCACCGGUCGCGGCGCCUGGAGGCAGGCUGGUGACCGAUGGCUGCCAUGACCGCUGAGGUGGCUGUGCGCACCAGCGGGAGAGCCCGCGAAGCGACCGCUGGCGCGCAUGACGAGCAUCUCGGUCAGGGCCGCGAUCUAAGCCAGAGCGACUCUAUCAGGUUAUCUUUCUGAUCGAUUCAAACGCAAUAGGCCGGCAUAGGUGCGAAAAGGUUGCAAGGAACGAAAGGUCAGGUACGUGUUGGCCGCUGGGGCAAAGCCGCUUGAGUAGCUGUGGCUUGGUAUGGAUCAUAAAGACACUAUCGCUCAGUAUAAAUGCAGCUUCAGGAUUGAGGCGAUGGCGACCCGGCCGUGAAAUACACGCACACCUGCAUGGCCUGCGGGGGCCGGGGCACGCCGCCCCCGAGCGACCUCCGAGCACCCCAAAGCCCUCGCGGCUGCUCUUCCCAUGUCCCGUCUUCCCACCGGACUAGUAUCCCCUUCACUGCGUACUGGCUCCGGCGUAUGUUGUUCUUGCCCACUUCAUCUGACACCCGUCGACCGCGACUGAGGUGCAACGUUGCAUGUCAUUUUACAAAUCCAACAUCACGCCGCCCGACGCGAGAGGGGCAGAAACGGCGGGGCAGACGGCCAGCCUGUUGAAUUCGGAUAACAGUGCAAUAGCGCACAUUGGUCCCCGCCUGCUUCACCUGGCCACCUUUGCUGACAUGUCUCUGACAUCCCUGUCUCCACACUUUUAUCCGCCCGUGCUUGAGACGUCGUUCUCAGUGCGCAGGCUUCACGGUACCAACGGUACGAUACUAUCGCAACAUGAUGAGUACACCGCCCCAACCAUUGAAGCAUCACAAGGUGCUUGCCUGCCGCAGCCGCCGCCGCUGAUAUGUGUGCGAUUGCUGCUGAAACCCACUGCCGCUGCUCUGCCGGCGCCUCCGGGCCCACCCCAAAACCCAUCUUGGCGAGGGCCCACGCCGAGUAAGGGUUGCACAGUACUCAGUACGUGUUAGUACGUACUAGUACGUACUGAGUACUAGUACGCCUCUCCUGGGUCUCAGUACGGCGCAAAAUACGCCAGGGGGGCGGGGGGCGGGGGUGUGGGGGUCGCCGGCGGGUGCCGGUGGCCGGUGGUCGUGCCGUGUCAAUGCGUCGGUGGCACAGUGCAGUGGCGAGAGGCAACAUAGACGCAACAUAGGCAACGUCUUAAGCAUAAUAUGAUUCUGUGUGUGUAGUUGCUCACAACCAAAAGCCUGGUAUCAGUGACACGAUGGCCGAUGCGAUGCGCGAACCGAGCCUGCCCUAUUGGAUACGCGCAAUGGAGCUCUGGAUGGAUAAGCUUGAUGGCCAAACAGUAGGCAAAACAGGCUGCGCAGUUGUCACUCCGCCCAUUUCUCGACAUUUAAUAAAAGUAUGCGUUUCCAACAGCAUAGCGAGCUGUAACGGCCUCGAGUAUGGUCAUGUAUAGUAGGAUACAGGGAAGGAUACUAAGGAGGAACAAGGAGAGCGAAAUUUGCAUUGGGACCGGGCAAAGGCUGCAUGGGACGUACUAUAGCACGUACUAACCCUUGCUCGCCGGCGUAUUAUAAGUGAAUUAUGGUGUAUUGUACUAGAAAGCUGUGUACUGCGUAUUAAUACGCGUAUUGUAAGAAAAUGGCUAGUACAGUGCAACCCUGCCCGAGUUGCUGAGGUCUUGUGGCACGUACCCUUCAAACCCCCGCCGCACGUCCUCCGCAGCCACCGCCGCCACCAGCUCUGCCUGCUUGCCGCCCAGCUGCAGCCCCUCCAGCGCCAGCAGGAUGUUGGACAGCUCCUGCGGCGUGAAUGCUGCAGCGAGCUCCGGUAUUCGGAGCCUCCGCAGCGUUUCUCCGCAUAGCGCCUUAACUGCUGAUUGGUACUCAAAUGCCUCCCGCAGCUUGCUUGUUCCGUACAUCGCAUUUGAAAGCGCCUGAGGCCUUGCAGUUCCAAGAACCUCUGAAUCCAACAGCCGCUCCAGCAGAGCUGCUACGAGCUGAGCCUCCGUGCCGCCGCUGCUGCUGACCCCGGCUUUCCCCAGCGCCCACAGCGGAAUGCUGCAUUUCAUUGCGUUGCGGAUGCGCGGCACGAGCGGCAGGUAGGCCGGCGCAAGCACGGCAAGGAUGCCAGUGCGUGCUGCAGCCGUUGCCGCCGCUCCAGCAGAGCGUGACUCCAGCUGCGUUUGCAGUACGGGGCAGGGAGUAUGAGGUCAAGCGCUAUUGUUUCCAGCUACAUCUAUCCCAGGUACGGUCUCCAGACAUGCAAAACUAAUGCGCGCGUGGGAGCGUGUGCCUCAGUGCCUCGCAAACUUACAUUUCCACAUUUGCUGAACGCCGCACACAUGGUGACCACAUCUUUUUUCCUCUCCCACACUGAUAGCCGCUGGCUGAUGAGUGCUUGCAGGUCCUCCAGGUUCUGACACACGUCCAUGUCAUCCGCGGGGUCACGAGCGCCGCCUCUGCCUCCGCCGCUGGCGCCGCCGCCUCCCGUUCUGCCGCCGCCGCCGCCGCCGCUUCCCCUACCUCCCGCCGUCUGCACAAACCGCCGCUGCACCUGGGGCUGCGCGAGGAAGCCGCGUGUUGCUGUAAGCGUAGCUUGCAGGCGUCCUGGCAUCCGCGGAGCGUUUUGACUGCUUACAGCUGCUGGCCCCGCAGGCAAGCCAACAUCGAAGCCCACUUCACGACCAGGCCUAGAGCCUACAGGUCCGAUGCGCCAUGCAUUGCGGCUGAGCUGCGGGGCCGCCGGGACAGCGGAGCAAGCAACCCUGCUGGGCCACACGGCUCGAGCGGGCUGCAGCGCGCAUGCCGGCCGCGGGCCCUUGCUGACAGCUAGCGGUGCUAGCAGUGCGCCAUAGCAGUUGCCAUGCCCGCUGAGAUGGCUGCGCGCGCCACCGCGAGAGCUCGCGCUGCAUGGCGAGCAUCGCAGCAGCCCCCAGCAAGGCCGCGAUCUAAGCCAGAGCGACUCUAUCUGGUUGUACAGCUCGGUGCUUUAAUUGCAAUGGAUAUGCAUCGAUUGGAAAAGAAGGCAAGGAACGAAAGGUCGGGUGCGCAGAGACGCUUACGGUUGAUGCGUUAAAGCCCAACGCUGUAGAUGUGAUAUACCGUGUGGGCACUGUUGAUAAAAGAAUGUCAAAUGUUGUCGUGAACUCAACCAACGGCACGCCCCGCAUGCAACCGAGGUUUAACCGAUCGAUCACCUAAACCUAGUCAGCCAAUGUCCGAGCUGCGGCAUUAUCUCCCAAUCCCAGAGUCGAAUCCAGCACGUCCAUUACAGCUAACACUGGCUGAGGGAGGCUGGAGACCUGCCAAUGGAUGGACACGGGGGUGUCAUGUCAGCCAGUCUGUGCGGAUGCCACCUACCAUGGGCGACCAUUCACAAUGGGGCCUGGACUCGGUCUUAGGCAGCACCGCCCCACCGAGGGGACGCUUUGGGGGAAGCGGGGGGAGCGCCACAACCAACCGGCGACACGACCGCGAUGGGCAAACCGUGGCCUUUCAGCUCGCUGCGUGCAUUAUUGUGUGCAAAUCCUUACACAUUCCAGCACAUAUACAAUUAUUGAACAGCUCCAUCAGCGAAGCAACGGCGUGGGCGUUUCGGCUUCGCGUCUAGCUUGAAGCUCUGCCAAAUCCUCAUAUUGCGCAAUAAUUAUAACACUACUGGCGCCUCUUAGAACUGCAAACCUAGGCCCAUUGCAAAGUCGCGUCGAGGGCCCAGAACGUUGACUAGGCGAGCGCGACUUUCUCAGGCCUGCCAGGUGAGCCGGCUAGUACUACUGCAUAAUCUUGACUCAUUUAGACCCAGAUUACAAGACGCGGUCGCCUCAGCUACCGGUUCUGCUUGGCUUCCCGGGCUUGCAUCGCCAUAGCAAAGCGCGUGUGUAUCGCCGCACCUCUCAGAGCUUGAUUAAUGUCCGUGUACAACUGCGGGCUGACUCCGCGCUGUCGGGCCCCUCGUCGCGCUCUCGGCAGAAUGCUCGCAGUUGAAGAGACCGCGCUCGCGGACGUCGCGGAGCAGGGGCAAGUGGCGGAGGUCAUAGAGGAAGUGCUCGCGGCCUGCGAGCAAAGCGAAGGCGAGCCGCCCGGCGCUACAGCUGAAGUGGCAGAAGGCGACGUCGAGCUGAAGGUGGAGGAGGAGGCGGAGGAGGCUGCAGCGCCCGCUGCUCCGGCGACCCCCGCGGAGGCCGACGCUACGGCCGACAGCGCCGCCGCUGCGGCCGCCCGGCGAAAGAAGCCACACGUGCCCUACUCCCAGCGCGAGGUGCGUGCGAUUAUCAUCUCACCGGGAUUCUUUUUGUUCCAUACAAGGAUGUGAGGGAGGCGCAUUCGUGGAAGAGGGAGCUGGGCUGGUGAUGGGACGGCGGUUGUUAGGCAACCGCCGUCUCACGAGCACAACGAUGAGCUGCAAUCAAGGGGGCUAGCAGCUGGGGACAUGGCAGCUUCACGCAGCUGCAUGGGCGACGUAGACCUCCCUUCCCUCAGCCCGUCUGCCACAAACCUCUCCCGAAGCCUACCUUGCCUUGCCAAACCUUUCCAACGUAAACAUGCGCAACUUGUCCUGCGUGUUCGCACAAUGCAUUCGGCCCUUUCCCCUUCUACGCUCCCUUUCUGCACAGAUCUUUGAGAAGAAGCCGCAGGCGCCUGCGCUGCCGGCCCGCCCCGCCACCAGCAGCAGCAAUAGCACCGGCGCAGGCGCGCGGCGCGGCAGCGGCACCAACAGCGGCGCCACGGGUGGCGCCGCCACCCGCGCCUCCGGCAUUCCUAACCGCACCUCUGCGCCGCUGUCUGCGUCCGCUGCCUCCGCCAAGGCCGCCGGUCCCGCUGGCAGGGCCCGCGCCGGCAGCGCCAGCACCUCGGCGUCCGGCGAGGCUGCCGCCGCCGCCGCCACAGCAACAGUAGCGGGGGGCUCGCCGCCUUUGUCCGCUGGCAAGGCUACAGCCGGCGGCGGUGCCGGCGGUGGCGGGUUCCGUAGCACCAGCAUGCCGCACGGCACCAAGCAGCAGCAGCAGAAGCAGAACAACAGCAGCAACGCCGGUAGCAGCAAUGGCGCAGCGGACGCCAAAACACUUCGCACAGCUGCCAGCGGCCGCGACGCUAUCCGGCUCGCACGGGAGCACGGCGGAGGUGGUGGCGGCAGCAUUCCGCACCAACCCAAGUCCUCGCCGUCGCCGCCGCCGGCGCAGCAGCAGCCAUCCCCCGACGCCGGUGGUGCUGCUGCCACGGCCGCCACCACCAAGCCCGGCGCCGUCGGCCGCAGCCCCAGCCAGCGCACCUCGGCCGGUUCCAAGGGCGCAGCUACUGCCGCUGCUACUGCCGCAGCUACUGCCGCUGCUACUGCCGCUGCUACUGCCGCUGCUGCGGAGGCCACGCCCAUCAAGGCGCCCAGCGGCCGCGGUCUGGGCAAGUCCAGCAGUGCACGCCUGAGCCCCGGCGCCGGCGCCGACGCUGCUGCUACAGGUGCUGCUGCAGCAGGUGCUGCUACAGCCAAGACACCAGAGAAGGCUUCCAGCGGCGUGUCCCGCGCCUCGCCCGGCGUCGGCCUCACCAAGAGCACGAGCGCCCGCGCCGCGGCUGUUGCUACAGCCGCUGCUACUGCCGCUGCGGGCGGCGCGGACGUGCCGCCUCGCCGCGUGAGCCGUGUGAGCAGCAGCAGCGGCGCCAAGCCCCCGGCGCCCGCUGGCGGCAGUAGCAAGAAGCUGACCGGGGCCGGCGGCAGUAGCAAGAAGCUGAGCGGCACCAGCGCCAAGGCCGGCGGCGGCACCCCCACCAAAUCCGCCUCCUCCGUCUCCGCCUCUGGCGCCGCUGCUGCAGCCAGGGCCGCUGCUGCAGCCGGGGCCACAGCAGCAGCAGCGGUGGUGGGCGGUGGGGGCGCGGGCGGGGCGGGUGCGGCCCAGGCUCUGGCCGUGCCUGCAGCGGUGGUGGCCGCCAUGUCGGGCGUGCCGGCUCACGACAGCGCCAGCGGCUCCCUGGACGAUGCCACCACCCCGCGCGACCGCGGCUCAGCCGAGGCCUCCCGCGGCGUGGCCGCCGCCACGGGCGCUGCUACUGCUGCUGCUGCUGCUGCUACCGCUGCUGGUGCUGGCUCCAACGUGGCGGUGCUGGACCCCACCGACUCCUUGUCCGCCUCCAGCGCCGCCACCGCCACCGGCACCAGCGCCAACGCCAGCCGCGACCUCAAAUCUACUGCUACCGCCGCCGCCACCGCCGCCGCCGCUGGCGGCGGCGGCAAGCCGGCGGCGGGCUCCGCGCCCAUUCCUGUACCAGGCGGCGGCGCCGCCGGGACUGCGGCGGGCGGCGGCGGCGCCGGUCCGCACCUGGGCAGCAGCAGCGCAGGCAGCAGCAGGCUGGGCGGCUCGUUGUCGUCGCCCAAGAGCGCCAACGACGCGGCCGCCAAGAUGCUUCGCGUGGAGACGCGCGUGCGGCAGGGCUCGCGCGGCAGCGGCGACCUGGUCUCGAGUAGCUGGCAGGCGCGCGCCUCGCCCAGUGGUGGUAAUAAUGGCGGUGGUAAUGGCGGUGCUGGUGGUGGUGCUGGUGGUGGUGCUGGUUCUGGUAAGGCGUUGGCGUCGGGGGCGGGAGGCGAGGGCGGGGUGGAGAAGGAGCCGACGGGCGCGGGCUGCCGCUGUGCCAUCAUGUGAGAGGCUGCUGGUGGUGGUGAUGCUGCUGCUUUCAGUUGCGGUUGCAACUGUAGUGGAGGGAGGGUGGUGGCGGGGGUGGCGGCGUAGGGUCCCGGUUCUGGAGGGGGAGGGCCACGCACACUGACGCAGGCACGCACACGGCGCAGAUGGUGUGGAGCAUUGGAUGGGAUGGGCGCGAAGGUUAGGGUGUGAAGGUUAACUAAAUAUAACCCGGCGAGUAUAUAAAGGUUAAACGUGAGUUGAGCACAAGUAAAUGAUCCUGAUGAAGACCGGUUUCGUGCGUUUGAAUGGGCAGAUUGACACGACUGCAUCUGGUCCUGCGGUGAUAAUGACUGGCGAUGUUGAUUAUUUUAGUGAUAUUCCGGCUGCUAAUGGGAGUCGUGCGAGCGUGCGCUUGACACACGGCUGCGGGUUUUGUGUGUGUGUGUGUAUGUGGGUGGAAUGUGGGUUUGUGUCGGACCGGCAAGACAGACGGGUGGCUCUGCUUGGGCUCUCCUCUAUCUUGUGUGUGCUGUGCUGUAUGUUAUGUGCAUGAUACGGUAUGCCUCUUGUUUUCACGUCUUUGUACAGGCCCACGCGAGUGGUACCCGGUACGUUAGUAUUGAGUAAGGCCUAUUGACCGCAAAUAGACGGUGGGUGAGCGGGUCACAAUCAGCCGGAGCGAGGGAGCCUGCGCUGCGACGCACUGCUGCAUGCGUGAACAUUAGGUUUGGCGAGGUCGGAAAAUAAUGAUUUGGGGCCGUGCGCUGUGGCUAUUGCGGGGGGCUCGAGAUAAGGCGCAGAGUGGUGUGUAACGGAGAGGGAGGGAAGGGGCACCGCAGGGAUCAGAUCGCACCCACCCGUAGGGCACGCUUGGGUUUGGAGAUUGCGUCCGGGGUGGGCAUGACGGAAUGUGUCUCCAUUAUGACGAUUAUGUGCGGGCUUUCGGGGGCAGCUGCUGCUAAGCAGGAGGGUUCAUGUGGUUGGUGCAGCGCCAGAGUCGGCCAGUGUGAAUGCCCAGAACGUUGACACGUAGCUUGCGCACGACCAGUUACCGUGAGAUGCAGCCGGCUUGUCAAGGAGUAACAUCUCUGGCAUCACUGUGCUUGUGGUUCUUGGAAGUCUGGGGUAUGAACCGGGGGCGCGGAACGGAUGGCGUGACGUGUGCUGAUGCGGAGCUACGGCGUUGUAAGUUGUUGCAAUCACAGCGGCUGCCCGCGCCCCAACCCCUGCUCCCGCGUGCCACGCCAGUUAUCACAUCGCUGUUGUUUCAUGGCGGGCGUAAUAUAAGAGCACCACUCGAAUUCCUGGGCGCGAUCUGGUCCGUCAACGCGAGCUAGAGGGAAAGCACUCGCGAAAACCUUGACUGAUCAAUGGGGCAGUGCGCGCCCACACCCGGUAGUUGACCAAUUGCUGCACAAAUCUUGUAAUCGCUUUUAUCUUAACGUUAUUGGACUGGCCUGUUUGCUUGCACACGAUAGGAGGUUGUAUUCUUCAUGGCUAGCCUUCGCUCAACAGUUGCUGGCACCCCGGCCUCUGGAAUGGCCUAUAAACUACCUUCUGGUGGCCUUACAUGCCUGCGGGCAAGGAAUGCUUGCCAACUUCAAGGCCCAGGUCACCGCAUCCGCACCGGAGCUGCGCCCGCAGGAGGCCCCAACGCUGGCGUAGCGAGCUCGUGAGUAGUACGAAAUUCCCAGCGCGCUAGAGUUACUUGCUGAAAUAUGCGAGGGGGGCUGCGCGGAGCUGUUAAUUAUUCCCCCACCCUAACUGGACUGUUGCGCGAGCCGGUCUGCGCAAGCGCAUACCCUGCGUUUGCGAUUUGGGAGGCCGCAUCAGGCCUAAGAGCGGGUUCCUGAGCCCUGGGAAUCACACUUGGGAGCCCUGGGAAUCACACUUGGGAGCAGCGUUUCCAGCGAGCCUCGCCCCCGCCGGCUCGGCCCCGCGCACCUCUCUGAUGCCUGGCCAAACGGCCAGCAGUAGUAGCGGCUGCCCGCGGCUCUCGGGGCCAGCCCAUAAUGACAGCUCAGCGCGGCGCGAAAGCACGGCUUCAGGUGGAAAACAUGCACACCAUCCCUUUCUUGCGUCCAGUUCACGCUUGCGCAACACCCAUAGCCCCCCGGCCCUACCACACCCUCUCCCCUCCCCUCACCUCACCUCCCCGCGCCUUCCUUCCCAAACCGCGCCCCCCUUUCUUCUAUCACCUCCUUCCCUCUUUUGCAUUGGGAUCAAUUUAGCUUGGGCUGUUAUCUACAACCCUCUCUCCCUCUCCCCAACCGUGUCAACCCGCUCUCUCCCUCUCCCGCUCCCUAUUGUCUUGGCUUUGGCCGGGUUUUUGUGGCAACCAACUCCCAACACUGCCCCCCACUACCACUUCCUUAACUAAGUAUGAAUGUAACCCCCCUCCCUUGCAGGGUUGUGGAGUCGGUGGCUGCGCCGCCGCCGCCACCAGCGCCGCUGCAGUUGCCGCCGCAGGUGACCCGGAGCCUGGGCAGCGGCUCCUUCAGCUCCAUGGAUGAAGUGGACAUUCGCAUGUUCCGAUUCACCGCGGCGCAGCUUGGUGAGACAUAACAUAUUCGUUGAAGAUGGGCUUGGGUUGCAGUAGCAUGUGCUGUAGUACAUAGUUUUAAUGAUAGAUGCAAAAGUGUAACUGCGCAUAUGCAUCUUCCCAGGGGCAUCACCCCAGGGGCAGCUACGCGUUCCCAAGCACAUCCUCCCACAGACCCACACCCUCCCAAAUUUACAUGACAUAUCCGCCUCUGCGCACCUCCGGGACCGCAUGCAGCUAGCUAGCCCCCUCACCGAUGCCGCCAACGUUAACGAGACACGCACACACGCGCACAAACGCCCCUGCACCGCAGACACCUUCCGCGGUCUCGCCUCGGCUAUGCGCAACUGCUCCACUGCUCUCAUAUCGCUGGCGGUGGGGAACGUGUUCGUAAACGCCUUAGAGGUGAGGGGGAGCGGUGGUGGUGAAUGGGGGAUGAAGAUUUGGGGAGGGCUAGGGAGCGUGUGAGUGUAUGCGUGUAUGCGUGUGCGUGUGGCGCUUAAUCGCUGGCGGUGUGAUAUCGCUGGCGUUGGGGAGUGCGUUUGCGAACACGCUGGAGGUGAGGGGGUGAACAAGGGGAGAGAGAGAGUGUGUUAUUGCCGUGUGGUGUUCAGGAUCCUGUGUUUUGGCACGCUGCGCGUGCUGUCGGGAGCUGCCGGAAGGUGUGUGUCCCCCAAGUACCCACGGUGUGCCCAACGGCCCCCGAUGUGGGCGGCUUGGGUUCCCCCCCGAACCCCCGCACCCCCGCACCCCCGCACCUGUACGGCAUACACGACCUCCUCUCCUGUGUGUGUGUGUGUGUGUGUGUGUGUGUGUGUGUGUGUGUGUGUGUGUGUGUGUGUGUGUGUGUGUGUGUGUGUGUGUGUGUGUGUGUGUGUGUGUGUGUGUGUGUGUGUGUGUGUGUGUGUGUGUGUGUGUGUGUGUGUGUGUGUGUGUGUGUGUGUGUGUGUGUGUGUGUGUGUGUGUGUGUGUGUGUGUGUGUGUGUGUGUGUGUGUGUGUGUGUGUGUUUUGCACUCGCCACUCACUCGCUCGCAACCCGUGUGUUUUGCACUCGUAACUCACUCGCUCUUGACUCACGGCGCCACCAGGCUACCACCAACCCUUCUGCCGCACCUGCGAGUAUCCUCAGUGCCCAUUGCUCUCACCCAUCCGCUGCACUUGCCCAUGUUUGGUACCCGUGCUUUAACGUUGCAACCUCGCAAACCCCACAAACCCCACAAACCCCACAAACCCCACAGGCAGUGGAGCACCACCACUCCCACCACCACGCAGCAGAGGGCGCGGCGGCGGCGGAGGGAGCGGCGGCGGCGGCCGGGGCAGCGGCGGGCGAGGCGGCGGCGGCGGCGGGGCAUGCGGUGGAGGCGGCGCUCACAGCUCCCCUGUUCUUUGAGGUGGGCUGGUGGGGGGCGGGAUGGGGGGGGGGGCUUACACGGGUGUGGGGGGCAGGGGGAGGGUUAGGGAUGCCGUGGUGUGGUGUGGUGUUGGCAGAUACAUGGUUCAUACCGAUCCACGCGCUCGAAACCUCUCAGGAGCUGGUCCGCUGUAUCUCCUUCCCCAAUGUAUCCCAAGACCCCCACCAGCCGCAACUUCGCUACUUCUUGAUUAACCUGUCCCCUUCCCCCCCCCCCACCCCCACCCCACGCCACCAUGCCACCGCCCCCCCCCUGUCGACUUCGCUACACUUCUCUGUACCAAUCCUUGCAACCCCCCCCCCCUUGGUGUGGUGUUGACAAUCACCCCGUACGGUUUCCCCUUUCCCUUCUCCCCCCCUCCCAACGCCACCUCACCUCCCCCCCUUCAGGAGAUGGUCCGCUCCAUCUCCUUUUCGGAUGUGGCGUUCUGCGUCAACGCCCUCAUCCCAGCGGCCCUCAUCGCCUACUCCGUGGGUGGGUGCGAGCUUGAAGAAAAGUGGUUUGGGGUUUUGCGGGCGUGCGGGUUUCAGUGCUGCGCGCCUUGCGUGUCUUGCUUGUGUGUUGACCGCUGCCUCUCAUACCCACCCACCCAUCCGCACGCAUCGCGUUGUCCGUGGGUGGCUGCCCUUCCCUUCCCCCCGACGACUUCACUUCUUAAUUAAUCAUGAAUGUAACCCCCCCCACCCCACCCAUGGGCCAUGGCCUUCCCUCGCGAUCCCCACCUCCCCCCCGCUCUCCGCCUCCCCCCCCUCUCCCCCCCUCCACCCAUCACCCCCCUCUCCCCCACCUCUCUUCCCACACCUCAGGCCCCUCUCCCCCCCCGUCGGCACUUCACUUCAUAUUUGAUACACACCAUCCCAUGGAUGGCUACCCCCCCCCCCCCCACGCCCACUUCUUAAUUAAUCAUGAAUGUAACCCCCUCUCUUCCCCCCACACCUCAGGCCCCUUCGCCGAGCUGGCCAAGGGCCCCGACCAGCCGCACAUGGCCCUGGCUCUCAAGGUGGGCGUGUGUGUGAUUGUGUGUGUGUGUGUGUGUGUGUGUGUGUGUGUGUGUGUGUGUGUGUGUGUGUGUGUGUGUGUGUGUGUGUGCGUGGAGAGGUGGGUGGAGCGGUUGUCUGAGCAGUUGGAAGUGAACGUAGUUGCGGCUGUGUGGUUUGCUGCAGCAUCGUUGUGUGGCGGGCAGACGCGCACGCACAUGUGCAUGUGCCCUGAGUCCAUGGUUUAAUGAAAAUCACACUUCGCUGGGCGUCACGUGGCUGUCGGUGCGAUUUAAUGACGUGCAACUCCGAGGGGCCGCUUAGUUUGGGGAUAUGGUGGUGGUGGAGAGGUUGGUAAACACGCUGGAUUGGACGGAGUUUUUAGGGUAGCAAGAGCUUGGGUGCGUGGGGCUUAGGCAGGCCCAGCAUUACUAGCUACGGUAGGCCCAGCAUUAGUAGCGUGUCACUGGAGGAUGCCGACAUGCAAGCGCAUGAGCCCACACAUGCAGGUACGGUAGUGACACCCCCCUUCCAGCAUCUCCUUUCUAACCAACACAAGACCAAACCUGCCCGCCUGCACACCUACAUGCGCAGCUUCCAAACCUUGCCUCAAGCUACCUUCCACACACAUCAUGUAGCCUCACCUUGCACGCACACUUACACGCAAUCAUACACACAUUUACAUGCGCGCAACCACACAACCCAACACACACACUCACACACAUGCGUGUCACAGGGCGUGGGGCGGCUGAGCCUUACCAUGCAGCAGCUGGCCUGGACCAGCGGCUCGGUGGGUGUGGUGCUGCUGCUGGAGGCAGCGGUCAAAUACCCGCCCAUGGUGGCGGUGGCGUCGGGGGCGUGCCUGGGGCUGGCGGGUGAGCGGGAGGGGGGUCCGGGAGAACGUGUGUGUAUGACACGCGUGUCGGGGGGAGGGGGGGAGGGUGCGGUGGCGUUGGGGGCAUGCCUGGGGCUGGCGGGUGAGCGGGAGGAGGGGAUGCGUGAGCAUGACCAACCCUGUCUUGACCCUCCCACAUUCAUUUCCUCAUCCUCAUCCUCCUUCACCCCCCCCCCCCCCCAACUUCCUUACCUACCGUAAUCAUGAAUGACCCUCCCCCUAUUCAGUGCAUCCUGUACCGCGUUUCCAAACAUCCUUGCAACCCCCACCCUCUCUCCCUCUCUCCCUCCCUCCCCCCCCUCCCCCCCCUCCCCCCCCCGCAGUGGCCCGCGGCGCUGCGCUGUGGUGGGUGGUGUCCCGUCACACCACCAGCGGCGAGGAGGUGGCCCGCACCCUGGCGGCGCUGAGGGGUCAGGCGGCGGGCGCCGAGCUGCACCCACUGGACAGGCUGGCGUCAUGGCUGGCGCUGGGGGCGCUGCUGCAGGUGCGGUUUGUCACAAGGGUUUUAGGGAGUUUGGGGGAUUUUAGGUUUUGGGGUUUUGGGGGUUUUGAGGUUUUGGGGUUUUGGGGAGCCGCGCCCGGUGGACCGGCUGGCGUCGUGGCUGGCGCUGGGGGCGCUGCUGCAGGUGCGGUGUGUUGGUGCCGGUACUGGGUGUUUUAUAGCGGUUGUGAAGUUAGGUGUGGAGUUAGGUGUGAAGUUAGGGUUGUAGGGUUGGCUGCUGCUGCAGGUGUGUUGUGGUUGUCUACUCUUUGGGGCUUGGCCGGUGACGCGGGAACCGGUCUGUGAUGCGGUACCAUUGGCGCUUUGGCGCUGGCGCACAAGAACGUCCAUACCCUGCAUGCCCCCAACAUCAUCUCGUCUGAAUCAUGCACACUGAAUCAUGCACGAAAUCGAAUGACAUGUUAACCAUGCAGCACGCCCCGUCACACUGCCCGUCCUGGACCUGGUGCUGGCGCUUGCUGCCACACAGCCUUUGCGCACGCCUGCCUUAGAUAUCUAUUUCCAGGCAUAUCAUUACACAUAUCCUUUGCCACACACCUUUUUCCAUAUCCGCGCCCCACAGGCUGAGCCCUCCAUCCACCCGCACGGCCACGGCCAGGGCCACCGCAUGCCCUGGCAGAAGGAGCCACACGCCGAGGUGCGGGGGGCGGUGUGUGUGUGUGUGUGGGGGGGGGGAGGCGGGAGGCUGGGGGCGGGGAAGGGGGGCGGGAGGCGGGGAAGGGGGCUGAGGCGGGGAAGGGGGUGGGAGGGGGGGGGCGGGGAAGGGGGCUGAGGCGGGAGGGGGGGAGGCGUUCAUGAAUGAUUAAGAAGUGAACUUGUAGCCAGGCGGGAUGUGGGAUGGUGUGAAUGGCCACGGUUUGAGUUGUAUAGCGGGCUGCUGCAUGGACGAAGUUUGAUGCGGCAUGGGUGAGGGGCAGGAAACCAACCCCUCUCCCGCUACCUCUUGAGCUGUGUAAGGGACUUGGUUACAGACGGCUUCAACAUGCAUGCAAACAUGCGUUCUUGCUUUAAUGGCACGCACACACAUGUACACACACAGGAUCAGGACCAGGACCAGGGCCACGAGCACAAGCGCCCACCGGCUUCCGUCACAGCGCCGGACCCGGAUCAGGUGAGGUGAGGUCGAGGGCGGUGCGCGAGGCGGUGCGAUGUGGUCAAUGUCGCGGGGGUUCACCACGCCUUGUCUGCCCUGAUCAACUGGCCCCCACACACCCACCCACCCACCUGCCCCCACCUCGUUCUCCAACUCUCCCAACCACUGCACACCUCUCCACUUCCACACACGCCUGCCCCCCCCCCCCCCGCCACACACACGCUCCCCCGCAGUCGGACCUGCUGCUGCACGUGGCGCCCGCCGACUCCAGGCCCCACUACGAGUUCGACGUGGAGGAGGAGCGCGUGCUGAGGAGGUGUGGGGUUGGCAGCGGGAGGGGUUACAGUCAUGAUUCUUAAGAAGUCAAGUCGUAGGCAGGUACAAUAGCAUAGUAGCGGGGGGGGAGAUGGAAGGUGUGGGUAUGGGCGGGAGUGCGUGGGGGAGAUUGGCGAUGCCAUGGCAUGUGUGCGGGUUCAGCACGUGUGUGCUUUGGGCGCCGCGGGAUGAGACAAGGCCGGAGGGCGAUUCUUUCCCGGUCCUUUGCUUUCCUGGUCGUGGCAUGCGUUCCCUGGCGACCCCAAGCGCUGGGGGUCGCCCGGCCCCCACCGCUGUCCCUCUGCACCCUGUGCCUCUUGUCACGUACCCAAUCCGGCAACACCGUGGUUGUUUUCCUCCUUCCCUGCCCUACGCCUGCUGCCUGCCUCAAAGCACUUCGCUGUACCAUCUUUGCACCAACCCCCUCCACUUCCUUAGCUAAUCAUGAAUGUAACCCCCUCCUUCCCAACCCCAACCCCUCCCCCUCUCCCUCCCCUCUCCCUCCCUUCUCCCUCCCCUCUCCCUCCCCUCUCCCUCCCCCCCUCCCCCCCGCAGCCUUGUGGAGGCCAGCAACGCUGCGGGUCUGGCUAUCCUGCUGCAGGUGCUGUCGCUGCUGUCACUGGGUGAGUGAGUGGGUGGGUGGUUCACUAGCAAGCACUUCGCUAAUAGGUGGGAGUUGGGGGAGUGUGUGUGUGUGUGUAUGGGGGGGAGUGGGGAGCGGGUGGUGAGGAGUGGGGAGCGGGUGGGUGGGUCGGUGGAGGGAGGGUGGGUGGUACGUGGGAGUACUGAAUGGGUGUGCAGUGUGGGGUACGAUCCCGGGGGCAGAGGUUGGGCGUGGGGGAUGGAGCUGUCACUGAUGGCGCUGGGUGAGUGGGUGGUGCGUGGGUUUGGUGCGUUUGGUGACGUGCAUUGUUGUCGGGGCUAAAGGGGGGUCGGGUGCUCCUUAAGGUGGAGCUUGCAUACGCCACAGCGAUUACCAUGCGCCAACCCUCCAAACACGCGCCAUCCCCCCCUCCUCUUCCGGCCGGCUCUCUCGCAGCUCCUCUCACCCCAACCCCACCCCACCCCACGUUUGACUCGCCAUGCCUGGACCACGCCCACCUGCGUGCAACUCACGCCCUCCCUCCCCUCCCCUAGUCCCGUGUCGUAACGGCGCGCCUGCUGUGCCAAUGGCUACAACUUCGCUUCUUCUUGAUUAGUAAUGAAUGUAAUCCCUCCCCCACUUUCACAAACCCCCUCCCUAACCUCCCCACAGGCAUCGCCGAGGCAGCCACCGCCAACACGCCGGGCCUGGUGUCCAACUGCAUCAACGCCACACAAAAGGCCGCCAACGCGGCUGUGCUGUUCGCCUCCAGCGCGGCGUUCGACAAUGCGCUGCACAACACCGGUGCGUUGAGAAGAAGAAACAACGUCGGCAAGAUACAAGACACAAUUAGAACGACAGGAAUGGCAAGAUAGAUAAGUCGCCCCCUCACCCACCGCCAACCAUAUCCCCCGUCGGCAGUUCGAAGCAAAUGUUUCAUGCAAACCGCUCGCAUGAAUUCGCUUUCCGCACCCCCUUUCCGCACCCCCUUUCCCAACAUCAUCAUGCAUGACUGAAACGCUCCUCCCCACCAAACAAACACCAAUCCAAAUCCUCCCUCACACACACGCAGACGGCAACGACGACACCGACCACCUGCUAUCGGGGCUGGGCAAGGCCCACGCCGGAAUGACCGGGCUGUUCACCUCCAUGGCGGUGCUGUCCUGGGCGCUGCUCAUGGUGAGAAUCUGGCGAGCUCAAAGAAAUGCCCGAAAUAAGCAUCGAAAUAUAUUAGCAGAAGUAAACGCCAUAAAAAAGCAAGGGGUUAGCUAGGGGCUGGGCAAGGCCCACGUCGGAGUAAAGGGCCCUUUACAAGCAUGGCGGUUUUGUCAUGGGCGCUGCUCUUUUAUAGGGGUGGCGGAGAGCGGGGUAACGUAAUCUCGGCCCAUGCAAACCAGGGCGGGUUGGGGUAGUUCUUGGGGCGUGUGUGUUGUGCGGCAUUGUGCGGGGCUGUGAAAACGCGGGUUUGCUUGGGCGUGGGAAGGCGCCCUGGAUGGUGGUCGUGGUGGUUGGGGCUCGGUCCUCUUCGCCCGUGCCUUGUCACACCAACUUCAACAACCCACCCACCGCACCCUCACCUCACCUCAACCCCACCUUACCCCCACCCCACCCCACCCCUCUCCGCACCUCGCCCCCUAACAUCACUCCCACACCACUCACUCCCACACCACCGCUCCCACACACUCCCACAGGCCGGCGGCGUGGCGCUGUUGGUUCCCGCGCUGGAGGAGAGCCCGCUGGGCGUGCUGGUUGGCGACGGCGUGUUGCACAUGUCAGCCGACAUACUGGUGGAGGUGCUGGAGGCCAUCUGAGAGAGAUGAAAAUGAGAACGAGGAGGCGUUGCUGCUGUAUGUUUGAUGUGUGUUUUCUGCAAUCAAGCUCGAAGGCUUGUGUAAGCGUGUGUAUACGGUACCGAGGUGCUGAUGGUUGGCAAGAGAGGCAGGGGAGAGGUGGGGCUGGUGGGGUGGGAAACACGUGUGCGUGCUGCACGUGCGUGUCGGCAGAUGUCCUGGUCGAGGUCCUGGAGGCCAUCUGAGGCAGGAGCUCAGCAGAAGAAAACGCCAUCACGCCAUCACGCAUGGGGGCUUUUAGCUUGCCUUGGCGCCGUGCAGGUGUGCUGCCACACGGUGCCACACGGCGCCGCUGGGGGCGGUUUGAUGCCGUUUGCGGUGGAGUUGAAGGGCUACAGGCUACUUUGAGCUUGAAUGCAGGACAGCGGCAGCAGGGCCGUUGAGAGCAGGCAGGUGAGAGAGAGAAGAAAAAGAAAAGAAAUCAUAGGAUCGUAGGAAUGUAAUAAAUGCUUUUGGGAUCGGCAGGUCCGUCUUGAUGACUGUUAGGUAUCGUGGCGCCUGGCGUGGAAUUUGGAAGUAGGGACCUGUGACACAAGCUCGUGUGUGCAUGUUGCAUGAGUGGCAUGCUGCUGCGCCUCGACGGGUCGCGCGUGGCUCGACCUUUAAGCACAGAUGUCCGAGGUUCAAGAAGAGUGCCAGAGGCACGCUCUGUGUCCGUGAUAUUGCGUCAAGGUAUUUCCCGGCGGCAUGGUGAAGCGCUCCUUCGCCCGCCCCCACUCGCAUUCUGCGCCCUUGUUGGUCGGCCGAAUGUGUGUGGCGCUUUGUGGUGUUGGUUAGUAGGCAGGGCUGGAGCCUUUGAGCUUGUGACACUUUUGUUCGAUAGGCUGAGAGGCCUGUAUACAUAUGGGAGAGGGAGGGGAGAAACACUUGUUAGGUAGGUGUUGCUAGCACGGAGUGAUGGAUGGGGCCGCGGGUGCCGAGUGCUUUUGCGUGUGAGUGUUGGUUUGCGGUUGAGAGUCCAGGUGAAAGGGCCGCAUGUGGCUUCCUAAGAAUAUGAAUAGUAAGCAAGAACGAGGAGAGAUAGAAGGCUAGAGGUUUCGGGUGGAAACGCACCGGUGUGAUGUUGUUGACUCCCCGUGUAGAGAUUCCCCUAUGGACGUCAAGAGCGCGUUGGUGAGUGCGUGUUGCUUGGGACGCGGGGCCACAACGGGCGGGUUGACACAGCCGGCAGGAGGGCUUUGCAGGGCGGUGGCGGUGCUCCGCCUUUCGAAACUACAGUAUUUAUUGUGUGUAGGUAGGAUGGGCGGCACGCGUCUUAGCGUGCGUGCAUGCGGUGGGAAGAGCGUAGAUUGUCAGGAUGACUUGGGGCCGGCCUUUGGCCUGCUGGCGCCCGGGCAGAGGUAGGGCGAGCUGGCCUAGCUGAGAAGUGUGAAUUUGUGCGCGCCACCAGUAGACGGCGUGUUGAGCUGUGUGGGAGCCAGCAGGCGGCACGGCAUCACUGGCAUGAGAGAGUUUUGCAGUAAUGCGCUAUUGAGAUGUACGGAUUGGGUCGGAGGUUCUCCUGCCUGGAUUGGGUGGACGUGUGGGUGCACACGUGCAUGCGGUGGGCGCUGUACACAUAUAUGCGGCGGGUCGUGUGUCGGGCCAGCUGCCUGCUUGUAAAUUAAGAAACAACGCCAUGACCUAUUUGUGUAAUUGACUGAUUACCGAUUGCUAAUCGGUCUGGGCUGGGCCCUUGGCGGGGCCUCAGACCCGCCGCACAGGGCGCCACUACUACUGCCAGUGCUGCAGGCGUCCCUUGCUUGGUGGCGUCGAGCUUGAUGGAUUGUGCGCAGCCGUGUGGUGGAGGUAAUAAGUUGAUUGUGGGGCGCACCAGCAGCAGCCAGGUAGGAGUGCGUGGGAGAGACGUAAGCACCAACGGCAGUGCGGUGCUGCUGUGUGCGCGGGCCGGGCGGCGGUGGCAAGGGGGGAGGUGGGUGACGGCACGCAAAGGGGCCAGGGCAAGGCGUGAUGGUGAGGCACGAUGAGUCAGGGCAUGGUCGGCGUGAGGGGCGCCUGCAAACUUGCUGCAAAGCCUUGCAAGGGUUUACUGCUAUCACAUUAUUGCCAACACACAAUACACUAACGCGACGUCUGUGAUAAGCCUUUACAGCGAGCUUGAGCGAAAUGCACUCCGCGACGCAGCAGCAGCACGGCCGCGGCGGCGGCGAGCAGCAGCAGUCGCCGUCGGUGCUGCCCGCCGACAUGCCGCCGGUGCCGACCAGGUGGGUGCUUUAUCUUGGGUGCGUGAGCGUUGGCUUAAAUCGAUGAGUACAGAUAUAUAGGUGGAUGAGUAGCAGAUAGUGCUCCUGGCUUCGUGGUGGACAGGGUGGCUGUUGGUUUGGGCCCGCCCAGCACCGAUUGCCCCUUGGGUCCUCGGCGAGGUUUAUUUCUGUGUCGCCGGCUUUCAGCACGGUGUCGCUGUCAGGAUCAGCCGUGGCCUACUGAAGUUCGAGACCGCAGCCUUGCCCACCGCGGCGUCUAAAUCGGCCGUGGCCUCUGCCAGUUCGAGACCGGAGACUUGUCUACACCCGGCCCUGGCGCGCACGCGUGCCCAGCUGGUCACCAGCAGGCUACAUGGUCCUGGCGCGGUAGCCUGGGGGUUGUGACCAGCUGGUCACGCGUGCGCGCCAGGGCCGGGACUCGAACUGGAAGAGGCCGCGGCUGACGCCGCCGUGCGGAACUCACUGGGCACGCCCACACGGACACACCCACACAGGCAUGCCCCACCCAGCCCGGGCAUAGAUCCGCCUGAGCCUCCGCAGGACUAGCGCGGCAGAGCAUAGCGCUAACGCACAUCCCCUAAGCAUGCUGUCCUGCAGCAUUGCAUACUCGCUUCCACUCACUCAUCGCUUCUCCUUAAUGUCAACCUCUAUUACUAUCCCUUACCACACAGCAUGACAGCCAAGCGGCCCGACCUCUUUGGUGCGCCCGACCCGCACCAGCCCGCCGCCUCCGCGCCGCCCCGCCCCUCCGCGCCCCGCCCCUCCGCGCCCUGCCCCUCCGCACACGACGACCUCUCGCCAGCCGGCGACGCCGCCGCGGCGGCAGCGGAGGCGGCGGCGGCGGCGGCGCAGCAGCAGCAGGGCAGCGGCGGCGGCGGCGGCGGGAUGGUGGCGGGGUCCAGGCCGGGUGCUACUGCCGCUACUGCCGCUACUGCUACUGCGGCUCCUGCUACUGCCGCUACUGCCAAGGGCGCCCCGCCGGAGAACGGCCUCGACGCCAUCAUUGCCGACCACCAGGUCAUNNNNNNNNNNNNNNNNNNNNNNNNNNNNNNNNNNNNNNNNNNNNNNNNNNNNNNNNNNNNNNNNNNNNNNNNNNNNNNNNNNNNNNNNNNNNNNNNNNNNCAGCCCGGGAGGGGAGGGAGGGAGGGAGGGAGGGAGAGGAGAGGAGAGGCUGUCAGGGCACUGGGUGGUAGGCCCUGGCGCGGCACCGGCAGGGGUCGGGCACCAGAGGAGGGGUUUCGCACGUGUGCGAAGCGGCAGGCUGAGCAUGUGGCAUGCUACGCUGUGCAACACAGGCAUUACACGCGCUCGGCCGGCCAAAAGCGCCACCCGCGUCCGCAAAAGCUGCUUUUGUGGAUCCGCGUUCGCACCUUGACGCGCAACAGCUCCACAUGCUUGGCCAUUUUGCCCUCAAGGGAGGCCGCCUGGCGCCCGAAAAACGCGUCCUCGUCAUCCUCGGGUUGGGGGAGCGGGAGACUGGAUGGGAGGUGCAGUUAGGUUAGGGGGGAGGAGACACCCCCCCCAACGGGUAUUUAACAUGCAUGGAACCCCCCAACGGGUACAACAGGAGGGGGAGAGUCGUGGGCGGGUAGGGGGGGGGAGACACACGCCUUCAAAAGGUACAACAGGAGGGGGAGAUGGAUUAGCUGCGUUUCCACGCGUGGCCCUUCCCACCCCCCACCCCCCCCCCCCCCCACACACACACACAAAAAAAAGUAUUAUCGCUUGCAACGAUCGCCUCUGCCUGUGCUCCACUAGUUUGGCUUGGAUUCACUUAGUUUGGGCUGGUAUUUACAACCCCCAGCUCCCUCCCCCCGGCCGCACACACAAAAAGACACACGCCCCUUCCUCUUCCCCCCACCCCCCACCCACCCCCCCCCCACACACACGCGCCACACACACAAAUGCGCUCCCACAGGGUGACACGCAGCAGUGGGCGCUGCACGCGGCCACACUGCAGAAGUUCCAGUCGGUGGAGGAGGAGCACCUCAGCUGCGAGGAAGCAGAGGUGGUUAGGGGCGGGUGGUUAGGAGUCGGUGGUUGGGUGGUGGUUUGGGUGUGUGUGGUUGGGGUUUUGGGUUGGGGUGGGGUGGGUUGGGGUUGGGGGUGCGGCAAUGGUAACAGUUGGGGGGGCUUCAGGCUGGUUUUGGGUUCCGGACCAAUGAAGCUUGUGGCAACUUUGGCUGGCGAGGCCAUGGGGGUUAGGUGGGAGGGGUGGCUGGUGUGAUGUUGCCAUAGGCCCUCCCCUCAUCAAUGACUACAUCACCACGCAUCCACACACCACACAUCCAUACACCCACACACCCCGAGCGUGAUGAAUGCGCGUCAGCAAACUUCCAGCCAGCCAGCAACUUGUCGGUACAGUAACUCUGGCAUUUGACCAGCCGCGUACGCACUCCUGCCCUGUCGUUGCAAGUUGUUUGCCAUCUGCUGGGGUCUGGGCAUCAGCUGCAUCCCACAGGACUCCACCAACCUGCCUAAACACUGUCCCAUCGCACACCCACACACCCGCACAACCACACAACCCAUGCCCGCCCAUGCUCUCCCCCCCCACCACCACCACCACACAGGUGAUUGAGCCGCUGCGUGCCGUCAUGAGCCAAGGCGAGAUGGCGAAGCUGGGUGAGUGUGUGGAUGUGGGUGUGGGUGUGGGUGUGGGUGUGGGUGUGGGUGUGGGUGUGGGUGUGGGUGUGGGUGUGGGUGUGGGUGUGGGUGUGGGUGUGGGUGUGGGUGUGGGUGUGGGUGGCAGUGGGUGGGUGGGUGGGUGGGUGGGCAUGGGCGUGCGGAGGUGGGUGGAGUGAAUGGACGGCACCUCACUCCUCAACCCUCCCUCACCCACCCCCUUAUGCCCCACCCAGUAACCCCCCCUACUCCCACCCAGUGCUCGUAUCUUGUAGAUGCCCUAAGGCACCCGGCAUCUACACCUGCGUAGAUGACCCUGACCGCGGCAUCUACACUUGAGCCCUCAAGCCCCCCAAAACGUCUACGCUUCCCCCAUUUUUGCGCCAAAACCGGCCAAAAACGUCUACACCUGCGUAGAUGCGCGGCACCCAAACCCAAAAUUCGGCGGAUUUUGGGCACAUUUCUACAGUGUAGAUGGAAGAUACGAGCACUGCCGAGUCCCAAGCGGGUCCCACUCGCGCACGGCCCUGCGGGCCGGUCGUGUACCCAGCCCAAUACCUUUCCUAUAGCAUCUAAUACCACAUAUUAGGUCAUUAGAGUAACCCGGGGGCAUUGAAUCGAGCCGGGGCCGACCUCGAGCAUCCAAAUGUCGCGUUCGCCAGGACACGCCAUACCAGGCCAGACAGUAGCCUAACUACACCUAUGCAUACAUUUGUGUUGACGGCAAUCGGUAAAGCCCGAAAACAACGCCUAUGUAGGAUGUUGGCUUCGGUCAAUUUCGCGACUUGAGCCUCGACGAGCACGUUUUAGGCUGCUGUCAACCGCUAUUGCUCCAACAGAUUGCAUGUAACAUAUACAUUAAGUGGCGGAGUCUGUAUCCCGCUCUGCAUUUUUCUCGGGGCGACGUCUCCUGGCCUCCUCGGGUUUGGCUGGGGAAACGCACCCCCCGGACGGCACGCGGUGAAAACCCCCUGGCAGAUUGUCCUUCAAGCAUCAGACGUGGCGGCUUCCAUGAAGGACAAUCUGCCAAGGGGUUUUGGUGCCGUCGCGUGGGCGCCUCCCUGGGGACACGCUUUUUCCUGGAGUGGGACCCGCUUGACUGCUCCCACCCACCCCACCCCAAAACACCAAACCCAAACCCAAACCCCCAACCCCACCUACAGGCCGGCAGUGGUCCUCAGCCUGGGCCAACGCGCCCACACACCCGCACCCGCGCGGCCCCAGUGCCGCCCCUGGUGCAGCCCUGCUGCACCCACUGGUGGGGGUGGUGGACCGGCUGCGGGACGCAGUGGUGGAGCGGUGAGGAAGGAAGGACUGAGGACUGAGUGGUGAGUGAGGAAGGACUGCUGAGGACUGACUGGAGUGGUGAGGAAGGAUUGAUGAGGACUGACUUGAGCAAUGAGGAAGGGCUAAGGACUGAGGACGGAUGGGGAGCUUCUGCCUGGUGGUUGUGUUGGUGGCUGGUGGUUGUGUUGGGUAGUGGAUGGAUAUGCAUAGCGGAAAGAGGCUGAAAGCUAGCAGCAAUCAGCAGCCAACAGUAGUGGCCAGAAGCUGUUGCUGUUACUGCUGCAGCUUCCCAAGCUCCACACAUGCAACGAACAGCCUGAUACUUUCAAAUUAGCAGCUGGCAAUGGGGUAACGUGAGUCGAGCUUGCUGGAAGCAUGGAGGGCUUAGUGGAGGCACUCUGUUACACCCAUAGUUAACAAUCACUUCAAGGUAUUGCCAUUGCCACAUGUGUCCAUCUUCAAUUACAGUUCUUCAUGGUAUGCAUUGGGCAUGGGCAAUUUUUGCAGUUUGGGCUAGCCUGCAUCCACACACUGUGGCAAACAACAUAAGCUUGGUCCAGCUGCAGCUUCUAUUGUAUGUACAGCACAGCCAAAAUAAAUGCAUGCAAGCCAGUUCCUGUUCUUAAACCAAAUGAUAUCCAUUACCUUCCCCUAUCAACAGUCAUUGCAUGUGGUUGCACCACUCCACCAACCUCAGUCCGUUCAAGCCAGCACAAUGCCAUGCACCUCAUUGGGUGUCAUCACUGUUGCAGCAGGCCGUGUGAAAUCAGCCACUCCACUGUUGCAGUGUUGCCACUGUGGAAUACUCGCUGCUGCUGUCCUGCAUUCAGCAGGGCCUGUAGGCAGACAGGCGGGCCAGUGGAAACACCGUGUGAGGAAAGGUUGUGAGGGCAUCAGCAAGCAUGCAUCAUGGUUUGGCCAAGCCCAGCAACACACUGUGGCAAGUAUAUAGUGGCAAGUAUAGUGGCCAGCUGCCAGAUCCCCUGCCCUCCUGCAACACAAAGUGACCCCGGCAUGCAAAUGCAUGGCCCGCUGUCCCACCUCUACUCACCUGUAGUGCACGGCCACCACCAUCGGCCCCCAGCUCCGCUGCCGCCCACUCCAGCGCCUCAACGCUGCCCCCCAUGGCCACAGCCUCUAGGUCCACAGUAGCGCCUCGUGAACGCAGUGCUUGCAGCACCGCCAGGCUCACGCCUCGUUCUGCCGCAUUGCGGAACGCACACGACCAGUGCUUCUGUGACCUCUCCUCCUUCUCCUCCACUCGUGCCUCCUGGGCCCUCGGCCCCACGCCGCCGGCAUCCGCCUCCUCACCAUCCAUGGAGUCCACCACCACCUCCGAGAGGAAGAGGAGCGUGGCGUCAGAGGCGCCCAGUUGCGCCUCACGCUCCGCCUGCAGUGCGGUGAACUGGAAGCCGCGGCCGUGCAGGAAGCGCAUCACCAGCGGCUCACUGGUCCCAGCACCAAACACGCAGUCCUUCAGCAGCGCUGCUGCGGAAACCCCGUCCACCUGCCCGCACUCGUCCCACAUGUAUGCCAGCUCCUCGGGCCGCCCUGCGCUUGCCGCAUAACGAGACAGCACAGGUGUUGCCAUUGACACGCCGAUGCUGUGCAGGUACUGCAGCCGCGCCAAGCAGUCGGGCCGUUCAAACAGCACUCCCCAAAGCUCGUGCUCGUCGCCCACACUGGCUGCCACCGCAGCCGCCGCGUCCGGCCCCCAGGCCGAGCGAAGGAACUCCACCUUGGCAGCCCAGUCCGGCGUGGGGCUGGCGGCCGCCGCCAUCAGCAGCCGGUUCUGCUGCCGCUCGGGCCAGUCCGUGAUUCCCCCCACAUUUCCCGCGGCUGCACCCAGCCCCAGCCCCAGCCCCUCCUGCUGCUGCUGCUGCUGGUGGUGCCCUGCGUGCCCUGCUGCUGCCGGCCCUCCACUCCAGCGCCUCAGUGUGUCAUAGUGCCGCUGCAGCACCUCCAGCGGGCAGCCCAGCGUGAUGGCCACCAGCAGCCGGAACGCCUCAUGGCGGCGGCUGGCAUCCCCUGGUGGCGCCGGGCCCUGCUGGCCCGGCUGCCCCUCUUGACCCUGCUGGCCCUGUUGACCCUGUUGACCAUGUUGACCCUGUCCUGGCUGGGCCGGCGCCAGCUCGGCCUGCACCUGCGGCAGCAGCAGCUCCAUAACCUUCACCUGGCCGUACUCGGCAGCCAGCACCACGUGCCGAGCCUUGGGCCGGAAGCCGUGCGUGUCCUGCAUCCACUGCAGGACGUGCAGCUGCCCGCCAGCGCAGGCGCCGCGGACCGCGACAGCGUAGUAGGCAGCGCGGGCGCCCCGCUCCGCCUUCUUGAGCAGCAACUGCAGCACCUGCAGGUGGCCGCCCUGUCCCGCGGCCUCCACAGCCGAGGUGGCCUCCCGGAAACAGCCCUCGCUCAGCAGCCGCUCGCAGCCCUCCAGGUUGCCCGCUGCGGCGGCCGCCGUCAGCACCUCUGGGAUUAGCGAGCAGCCGCACUGCGCCAGGGCCGCGUCCAGGCUGGGCGCGUGGCCCGAGGACGCGGCCAGGCACAGCAGCCGCCGCCGCUGGGGAAGGCUAAGCGAGCGCCAGGGCUCGGGACGGUCCCAGUGCGCCACAAAGGCGUGCCCAGGCCAAGGCUGCUGAGCCCGAUGGGGCUCGCUGGGAUCUGCUCGCUUCUGACCCAGCUUGAUAACGCAAUAUUGGUCACGCAGCGCCGCUGCGGUGUCGCUGUCGACAAGGCGCAGACCUGUCGCUACUUCGUUUGGAUGCAAACAUGGAGCCUCAGCGACUCUCCGGACAAGGUCCGGCGUAAGGCGCUUCCAUUCGUUGUUUUGUUGGUCUUCUACGGAGCCCAUGUUGGCUGAAGACGAGACAGUGGCGGAAGUAGUUACGAGAUGCUUAGUUCUGUGUUGACCGGUAUGAUAAUAUGACGCGUUGAGCAAGCUAGAAGUGCAAAAUUGCCAUGGCAAAGGUAUCGGGACACAUUACGAGCCCGAAACCAUAGGGGCCCAUGCAGAACGUCUGUGUUUUAUCGGGAAUGUAUCACUCUCGGUAUUCUCUGUAACAACGUACACAUAUGAGUUUGCCAGUCACGUCGUCACACAUACGCACAGACUCAAGCGCCGAAACCGAUGCCAACCGCUGCGCGUACCCCAAGGUGGCAGGCGGUGGCACGGGCGGUGGGGGGGCCCUGCCUGUCAUAUGCCCCCUUGCACUCAAGCUCGCAAGGCGCAUGCCGUGCCAUACACCGUGCCAUAUGUUUUGGAACACGCGGUUAGCCAUGGUGUGAAAAUUAUUGAGGGGCGAAUUCGUGUAAGAACGAUUGCCCGAGCGUACGUGCGGAAACACCUACAGCUUCGCAGUAGUACCCCGGCCGGGGCUUGCCCCUCCCCCUCAGGCGCCCUUGCCUUGUCCUGAACCCCCGCAUUAAACACCAUGAAACCUGUGCUGCACAGGCGACCUGCCGGAGUCAUGUAAGCCCCGUGUGCGUUGUGCCUAGGGUGCGUGCCUGCGUGGGCGGGGAGCCCAGCGCCUCUACGUAGUAAAGAGUUAGGCUACUUGACACGCACUACCCGACGGCGUUGCAGGCGGCACGCCCCUGGGGUCCAGAGCAGGGUGUUCGUUCUCCACGUCACUGGGUCGUGAACUGCGUCAGCAGGUCUCUUGUAACCAAUGCAAUCUACCCGCCCUAUCUAUCUUGCGCGGGCGGGCUGCUGGCCACCGCGGGUAGAAGCGGACCGUACGGUCCACGCGUGGCAUGCUCUGUUUGCUCCACUCACGCGCUCGGCCACCAGGAUGACGGAGCGAGGAUGCGCGCAGUGCCGGAAGGCGUUGACCCCUCCACGCACGAGGCUCCGCAAGUCCGCAAUCCGCAUGCGUCAAUGGCGCACGCACGGCACACGUGCUUGCUACGGUGUCGCCCAGAGGGCGCUGGACGCCAGGGGACACCGCCGGUGGGAGUCGGGGGAGCCCUGGGCAUGACACGCCCCGUGCCGUGGACGGAGGGGAGUGAGUGAGUGUCCCCUCCCCCCCAGUGUCAUUCCUCAGGGCCUCAGGGAAAAUGCUGCGGACAUGGGGAGGGAGGGACGAGGGGCAACCCCUGCCUGGAAGGGAGGCAGCACCAAUCCAGGGCAUGGCGGCGCGGGCCAUGCGAGAGGACCGCCAUGGUGCAAAUAGACUGAAGGGGCGGUAGGACAGGAAAGCAGGGGCAUACGUAAUGUCGCAUUCAUUAAAGAACGCUGCCAAGCAAGUAAGGCACCUCAGCUUUGGGGAACACGCCGGGCGGAUUCAUGCAGCAGGUUCGCGUACACGACCGAAGUAAGAGGGAGGCUGCCGCCAAGGCCGCCAGCUGUCGGGUGACCCGGCAGGAGGCGGCUGUUCCAGGGUUUCGGUUGUCCCGGCUGCUUUUGUGGCGCACAAAAACAAGCGCGAAGCUCAAGCUGGCUGUGUUCCAGACUGAUUUAUUUGCUUGGGUUUUGCGGUGUCGAGGACGCAUCACAGCCUACGGUAGUUGUGGGCUGGUCCACGCCCCUCCCCUGUCCACGCCAGCCCCUGCCGCAACAGCCGUCUUCACCCGCUGCGUGUCCCAAGCUUUGGACCAUCGAUUGCCGCAAUGCUUGGCGCGCCGUUAUCGUGUCCAAGGUACAAGUAACUGCGGUCGCUGCUCACACUUUUGUUCUCCUUGCUGGCCUCAAUGACGUCAUGGUCUUGACUUCCACAUUGCGCGUUUAAGCUCAUCUGUGUCGACGGCUUAUGUCUUGCAGCACGGGCAUGGACUGCGGCGGUGAUUUGAGCACGUGUCGCCGACUCAGCAGCAAGCGCUGCCGCCCGCGCUUGCGGGGGCGAUGGUGGGGUCCGGCCCAACGCCGCCGGAGGGUGCGCGGCAUGUGUCCGUGAUGUGGGCGGGGUCGAGAGGGGCCAUGCAGCGGAAUUAGCUUGGAGUCCGGCCCGGCGUCGCCGAAGGGUGCGCAGUGUGUGUCCGUGGGGUGGGCGGGGGCGGUGGUGGACAGGUCGAAUGAGCGGAAUUAGCUUGGAGUCCAGCCCGGCGUCGCCGGAGGGUGCGCGGCGUGUGUCCGUGAGGUGGGCGGGGGCGGCGGUGGACAGGUCGAUUGAGCGGAAUUAGCUCAGUUGGGAGAGCGUUAGACUGAAGAUCUAAAGGUCGCUAGUUCGAUCCUGGCAUUUCGCACGCUAAUGUAGCGUCCCGUAACCAGCCCCGCGAGGGGAGUGAACUACCCGGACAUCCGGGAGAAUUUUGGCCCCGCGGGUGAUCUGGCGCGAGUUGCGGCAUUUGCACGUGCUGCAGCGGAUGCGACUGCUGCAGGUAUGCGAUGAUGGGCCAGUGGAAGAGGCAGAUAAUCUCACGGCGGUUUGGAACAUGACAGUAGGCGAAGGUGAUCAUAGGUUUGCGAGGGGAAAAGGCGGAGCAGAAACUUGGUUGCAAUACUCCACACUCGCAAACCUAGCAGUCGAGCACACUACAGUAUACGUGCUACGGUUGGUGUUGGGUCUGCUCUGUAGCAGUGUGCCGCCAUUUUCCACCCCCAAAUGCGUCAUGACUUGCAGGCCUCGGAAAGAAUAGCGACGUUGGCACCAAGUUGUGCAGCCAUGCACUCUGGCACCCAUCCCGAUUGCACACGUUCCGCCGUCUACCGGUGAUUCAUUUGACAGGGACCUCCAAUUCAUGAGUUUUGACCGCAAUGUUGCUUCAAUGCAGACUGUAACAAGCGCUUCCUUAGCGGCGGCGGCGAGCUUGAGCUUACGACGGCGGACGGCUUUGCCCGAACGUUACAUAUUUCUACUAGGAUGCACAUUGCAACAUUUAAUAUGCAGAUUGUCCAUGCAUGAACACAAAACGACUUUGGAUUGUUGUGGAUCCGACUGUGGCAGGUUGCCCGCAACGGACCUUCGCUUAAAUCAAAGGCUCAUAAUGAGAUCAAGCUACAGCUUCAUCAAUUUAGAUCUUAUCAUGGGAGAAUCACCGCAGAGUUACCGGUACUCUUGUCAACCAUAGGCAUAGGUGAAGGUCGCAACCGCUUCCUCUCGUCAGUGUACAAUGAUGUCUUUGUAACAACGACAGUUUGAUGGUUAUGAGCAAUCAUUCAUCGUCUACUGAGGCCCAAAACAAUCGAGGAAGGACGACGUCGGGAUGUGUGCACACAGGUGCACAUACCAUGUAGGGUUGGAUUGCUCCACGGCCCUUGCCAAGUAACCCAGUCCCGCGGCUUGAACAGCCACUCGCACCACACCCAAAACUCUCACAGUUACGCCCCAACAGCUACAGUCACUGCUGCAGCGAAGGCCAAACAGGUGCGGCCUCGGAAGUUGGCUAAGCCGCCUAGACCUGGCCGCCUGGCCGGGCGCCCGGCCGCCCGUGUUGAGAGUGCAGUAGUUGCCGACUGAGGCUGCAGUAAUCAGGGCUCCUAUCUUAAUGUCUCCAGACAUUAAUUCAGGGGGGGGUAAGGAUGCCGCAGACAUACCCCACCCUUCAAAUCGAAAGAGCUUGACGAGAGCGUUCAGGAUCUGCUUUCAGAAUUUUGAUCAGGGUAGUAAUUGCGGAGAUAUGGGCCCCCAAAGCUCAGGGUCGGUCGUCGGUCCCCGGGGUCCCCAAGGUUUCGUCACGGUGUGCCGGAAACUUUCGUCUGGGCCUCAUAAGACAGCAGGGCAAGCCCAGACCGUUGCCCAAAGCAUGUAAUGGAUGCUUUUAAUGGCUGGCAAACGUCAGGAGCCUACCAGUAGACGAAGGGCUACCGCCCGUCAACACAUGUCGGGUUGGGAUGUUGGGGUGCGACAUGUCUCGCCUGACCAGAACGUGCCACAAGUCGCGGACCGGUGCUUGCGCGCCGGAGGAAAACGCAUUUGUAUGCCCCAUGCGUAGGUAAGACUCGUAAGCGUGCUUUACACGGGUGCAACUGAACGGCCGAAAGAUGUUCACAACAUGUCGACAACAUGGCUGUGGUCAAGACGCGCCCGACGAACUUUCCGUGUUUACAUGUUAAUAGAGCUCGCUGAAAGCAGUCGUUUGGCAACAUCCUGGAAGAAAACAGAGGGGAUUUAGGGGGUGUACGGCAUGGUACGGCACGGUCGGUCGUCGGUCAGGGGGGUCGGGAGGUUUUGCGGGGUGGGGUCUGGAACUAUUGUUCGUAACCCCCCCCCUGAUUAAUUGGACAUUUUGGCCGUUUCCUAGACAUUACUCCCGGGGGCUAAUGUCUGGGGCGAGACUUUGUUGGCCCGGGUUUGGGGCGGGUUUUGUCCGAAUUCCUAUGGAGAAGCCCCCAAACCGCCAUGUGCCCAGACAAAAGACGGCGGCCACCCGGCCGUUUUUGUCUGGAGCUAGACAUUACCCCCAAAACAAGAUACGACCCCUGGCAGUAAUGCCCUGAGGCACACCAUCCCAUGCGGCUGACAUCUAAAACUACCACUUCGUCCUCAGAGGGCAGCAAGGUCGCAAAGGUUGCGGCGGCAGGUGGAAACAAGGUUGACAGGGUAGGCGCAGGCAAGCGUAGCCUUGUGGCUGCCACCCAGGAGGGUUUGACAUUUUGUAGCAAGGAGUUGACCGCGGCGAUAGCGUGGGCACGGUCCGUCAAUGUGCUGGCGACAGCAGGGGAGGGCUGGAACUGCUCCCGCACGAGCUGAGCCCCCUCCGCCAUGAGGAGGGAGGACGGCCCGGCGUCGCCGUAGGGUGCGCGGUGUGUGUCCGUGGGGUGGGCGGGGGCGGCGGUGGACAGGUCGAUUGAGCGGAAUUAGCUUGGAGUCCAGCCCGGCGUCGCCGGAGGGUGCGCGGCGUGUGUCCGUGAGGUGGGCGGGGGCGGCGGUGGACAGGUCGAUUGAGCGGAAUUAGCUCAGUUGGGAGAGCGUUAGACUGAAGAUCUAAAGGUCGCUAGUUCGAUCCUGGCAUUUCGCACGCUGAUGUAGCGCCCCGUAACCAGCCCCGCGAGGGGAGUGAACUACCCGGACAUCCGGGAGAAUUUUGGCCCAGCGGGUGAUCUGGCGUGUCCUGGCGUGCGCAAGCUGUGGCAUGGGCCAUAGGUCUGGGCACAAGGGCACAAGGAAUCGACGUUGGGUACAAGCGCAAAGGAACAAGAUCCAGCAUAUCAAAAAGGUGGCGAACUGACGCAUACAGACACGAACGGCGACCUGAUGGAUUUGCUGCACUGGACAUGGACAACGCGGUCGUGCCGACGACUUGCGCACUAAAGGUGCGUGCACGUUUUGCAACAUGUGCACCGCUUCGCGUCUUCAGUGCUCCAAAUCUGGUUUCCUUGCUGUGUGUCAUACUCUUCCGGCUGGCCAGUGCUGGGCACCCAAUUCGGGCACCACGCCGCCCAACAUCCCGACUUGCCGCCAAAACACGUCUUUGCUGCCCAGCGAUGUAUGCCUUGCGAAAGAGGUUGUGGCUAUUGUGCGUGCAUACCAGCAUCUGGUGCUUUGUAAAACUCGGAGAGCCAUACGACGUGCACGGCGCUCUGCUGUAGUUUCUGCAUGCGCAAAAUGUUAUGCCGCGACUCACACAAUUGAGUUGCAUACUGCCUGCAUUACAGAAUUCUAUGGCAAAUGUCUCCUCUAGCAGUGCAAAGCGGCCAAGAGCGUUAGUAUAGGUCGCGAUUGUUUUCUGAACUCUUACACCACCUUUCAAUAAGGAUGGGACUAUUAUCAUGUUUCAGUGCGCCCAAAUCCAGCGCAACCGCGCCCAGUGACCACUCAAGCAUUGGGUGCGCCUGGAGCUCCGGGGGCCCGCCGAGUGAUGUUGCUAGCAGCGCUGCAAAGACACGACAGGUAGGAAGCUCUAGCUGCAAUAUUUUGUAGCGCAACCUCAAGGGUGUGCCCUUCGUCUCUUCUUUUUUCCGCAGCGCCCUGACGAUGGCGCGGAUAGGUCGCGUCAUGAUAUUAUCAACACAGGGCUUCUUGCCGCGGUUCCAGUGCUGGCAAACCUGGGUGCCAGCCCGCAGCAGGGAUGGUUCUCGGCACUGGACGCCGCUGCCAGCUGCCUGGCGUCGUGUUUUGAAGCCGACCAAGUCAGGUAUGCAUGCGUGCUGCGUCGCCGACUUGGGGUCCACUGCAAUAGCGGACAGAUUCCACGCGAGGACACUUUCAGGUGGGGGCUGCAUAAAUACGUGGACACAUCGUGGCCUAUGACUGAGCUCAAAUUCUUAUGCUGUUGCGAUGUUGCAGCAUAUACAUUCUCGACGGCGAGGGCCAGGGCAGCAUUUUGGCGGGCGUUGGCGUCGAGCCGCGGCUCUGCUCCGGCGCCUGGCAGAAUGCCUGCGUCCCGCAGCUGUGCCUUGAGCAGCUGGAGCAGCUGCAGGUGGGGCUUCUAAGGGAUUUGCUUGGGGGAGAAAUUAGGUUGGAGUAUCAGCUUGACAGGAAGCCUCGCUGUCUUUAGGGGGGGGGGCUGUGACUGUGACCGUGCGGAUGUCAAUGGAGCUGGGCGUAGGGAACGCUACCGCGUGUCUGAAACGGCGGCGCGGCGUUGCAGCACUUCCACCCAGACGCAAUCCUUGAGUGAGGGGAACGUAACGCUAGCUAGGCCGUGACUGCUAUCGGCUGCCAGGUAUGGUUGCGUGUGUGUGUGUGGUGGGGGUGGGGGCGCAAAGAUCGUUGGGAAAGCGGUACAGGAUGCACUGAAGACUGGGGGGGAGGGGGGGGGACAGUGGAGUCCUCCAAGUCACCGUUUCCAGCAGGCAUGCAAGAGCAGACAAGGAAAGACCAGACUCUUUGUACAGACCGUACAGCUGUACAGCACAUGUGUCAAGGCCGCCAUGUGGCCUGUACGUGGCCGUGCGCUCACGUGCGACACCCCUGUCCACACCCCUGCCCACGUGUCCCCGCAAACCCGCACCCCCGCAACCCCCAACCCACAGAUGACUAAUGGCAGCGGCAGCGAGGAGGCGACGAUGGCGGCGGUGGCGGGGGUGGUCUACCGAGAGCUCGUCGCCCCCACCAGUGGUGGCAGCGGCGGCGGCGGCGGUGGCAGCGGCAGCGGCGGUGGCGGCGGUGGCGCCAUCCCUGGCCCCGCCGCCGGCUCGUCGUUCAAGCAGCGGCCGCCGCCACCGCAGCAGCUGGUGCAACCCCAGCAACAACAAGUCCAGCAACAAGUCCCGCAACAGCAAAAGCCCCAGAAGCAACAGCAGCAGGAGCAGCAGCAGCAGCUGCUAACGAGCGGGUCGUCAUCCAGCGCCAACACGCACGGCACCCUGGGCACCGGCGGUGGAGUCAAUGGCGCGCCGGACAGUGCCAGUGGCGGUGCCUGCGGCGGUGGCAGUGGCGGCGGCGGCGGCGGUGGCGGCGGCGGCGGCGGCGGCGGCGGCGGUAGUGGCGGCGGUGGCGGUCCCGAGCGCGUCGCGACGGCGGCGGCGCUGCCAUACGAAUGGCGGCGGUUGGCGGCGCAGCACGGCUGUCGGCAGUUUGUGGCGGCGCGGAUCGAGGCGCAUGGCGUGGCGGUUGGGGUGCUGGGCCUGGCCAGCCGGGGUGAGUGAGCGGCGGGGGGCGGCGGUUGGGUUGGUUGGGUAGUUGGUUGGUUGGGCAGUUAGUUGGUGGUUGGGCAGCUGGUUGGGUGGUUGGGUUGGGGGGCUGGAAGGCUGGGGGUUCGGGUGUCCCAGGGUUCAUCGGAGGAUUUACGGUGUGCCUUAAGCAGGGGCGAGGGCGCGGCAGUUGGAGGGGCAUGGGGAAUGCGAUCAGAGAUGGGAUCAUGGGAGGAAACCGUGGAGUGGCGACACACGGUUUGCAAUGCAAGGCGAGCGCGCGCUUGCAAGCCUUCGCGGCUGGCUCCAUUUGCAAUUUUGACCGCCACAUACACCACCGCUGCCGCCCUGCUCGCUGCAAAUCCGCGCAAGCCCUCCGCGGCUCCGCCCCCCGCCUUAAAGCCCCCCGCCCUCAAGCCCUGCACCCUCACGCCCUGCUGCGCCCUCAAGCGCCGGCCCUGGCCCUCCCCUCCCUCCCGUUGUCCCCCCCUUGCUUGGUUUGAUUUAGUUUGGGCUGGAAUUUACAACACCCCCCUCCCUUCACUGCUGUAUCAAUCAUGAAUGUAAUCCCCCCCCCACCCGCAGCCCACGCCCGCCCCCCCUCCUGGACCACCGACGCUCUCCGCUGCGUGUCCGCCUUCCUCACCUGCCACCUCGCCACCGCCGCCGCCGCCCUGGUCGGACCCGCGCCCUUCGCCCCACCGCCCCCCUCCCUGCUGCUGACCCCCAGCGCCGCCGCUUGCGGCGGCGGCGGCGGCGGCGGCGGCGGCGGUGCCGGCGGCGGAGCCGCCGCCGCCGGGCCGCUGGCGGCGCUGCGUCGCGCGACGGCGUUGAGUGAGAUAGUGGCGGCGCUGGGCGCGGCGGCGGCGGUGGCGACGGAGAGCGUGGCGCACGUGCGUGCCGCCAGCAUCCGCGUGGCAUUCGUACACGCGGUGGGUGUGGAUGGGCGCGUGUGUGUUUGGGAGUGUGUUUUGAAGGGGUUGUGUUGUUGUAUGUGACAGUAUGUUUGUCCUUGUAGGCGCAUGUUCUGACUGCGUGGCCAGGGAGUACGGGAGGGCUCUCUCCGGUUGUCGUACUGAGGUGGUUGGUGGGUUGGCUUGAUGGGUGAGAGCCCACGUCGCCGCCCCAUUCCAUGGCCUUACUUUCCCGCCCGGCUGCGGCUUCGAUCAGUAAUUGAUCAUGCUUUGAAACCCUGUUCGUCACGCCCCUGCAAACAUGUCUCACGCCCCUUCAUGACUUCAUGACUUGUAAUGCCAUUUCUCACGCCCCUACAAACACACACAGGCAUUCCAGAGCGCAGCCAUCUUCCCGGUAGAUCGUCACACAGACCCCCUCAGCGACGGCGGCUUGGGAGGCAUCGCCACCAGCGGCGGCGGCGCCGUCGGCUCCAGUAUCGGCAGCACCGCCGCCGCCGCCGCCACCAGCCUCUUCGGCCGCAUCUCCUCCCACGCCUCCAUCAUCGCGCCAUCGCCGCCGCUGCCGCCGCCGCCGGAUCCGCUGCGGGUGCGGCCGCGGCCCAGCUGCGAUGUGCUGAUGCCGCCGCCGCCGCCGCCACGCGUGGCGGCGCCGCCGCAGACAGCGGGCGCCGCCGCCGCUCCCGCACCGCCGCUGUGUGGCGGGGCGGGCGGCGGUGUGGGAGCGGUGGUGGCGAACGUGGCUCUUCGCAGCAGCACCCCCGCGGGGGCUCUUGGGCUGCUGGGGCUGCCGUCAGAGGCCAGCCCAGGUGCGUGUGUGUCAUGGUAUGUCCUGACGAGCGUGUGUGUGUGGGUGCGAGAUUCGGACGCGGCGGUAUGAAGGAGCGGGCGCAGAUGUGCGGGUGCAGGCGUGCGGGCAUUGCAUGUCAAAACUGAGCUUUUGUGAAAAGCGCUCCUUCCCCCAAAACACACGCACGCCCCCACAGUAACCAACAGCCUCGCUCCCACACCUCCCACGUGCCCUCUCCUCCUCUCUAUCCCCCCCUCGUUGGUUUUGGUUUAGUUUGGGAUGGUUUUUACAACCCCCCAACACACACACGCAAAAACCCCAACAACAGGCGAGGCGGGAGCCGGCGGCAAUGCAGGCGGCGGUGCGGCCGGCGGACUGGUAGGCGGCGCUCACGGCGCCGCCUGGAUACAUGCCCUGCUGCCCAUGGCCCGUGGGUCCAGCUUCGCCAACGGCUACGCCGCCGCCGCCGCCACCACCAACGCCACCAAUGCCACAAGCGGCGGUGGCGGCGGCGGCGGCGCGUUUGGGUCAUUGGUGAUGGAGGGCGGCGCCUCGCUGUGGCGUGGAGGCAAGGGCACGGAUGUGAGUGUGUGUGUGAGCUGAUGAGUCCGGAUUGUGCAUCCGCCCUCGUCUCAUGGCGGUUUGGGUUCGGCGGACUCUUUCUCGCUCCCUUCACCCUUGACCCUCCUUGCCCCCUUGGCCUCCGUUUUCUCUUUGGCCUUCCUUGCCCCUUGCCGCUUUUCUUCUCUUCCCUCCUUACUCAUAAGUCUCACCGCCACCACCACCAUCCCUCGGCACUUCCAUAGAUGUUUCAUUCAAACCGUUCGCAUGAAUGGCUACCCCCCUCCUCUCCCACCCUGCUGUCCCCUGAUUCCCCUGCUUGCAUCCUGCUCCCGAUGUUUGUAAAGCUUGCCACCCAUCUCCUCUCCUUAAAAUAAUCAUACAUGUAAACCCUCCCUCCAUCCCUCCAUCCCUCCCUCCUUCCAUCCCUUCUGCCCUUCCUGCGCCCCCCCUCCCACUCCUCCUCCUCAGCCCCCCCGCAAGCUACUGCACGGACACACACUGCCGCUGCCCGGCACACUGCUGGCCCAGGCCCUAGCGCAGGGGGCGGCGGGGCUGUGCGUGGAUGACUGCGCGGCACACAUCCAGGCGCGUGUGUGUGUGUGUCUUUGUGGACUGGGGAAAUUUGGAUCCAGAUCCAGUUUUGUACCUUAAAAAGUGUUUGGAUCCGGGUUGGCUGAGAGGGCGUGAAUCCAGUUUUGUGUAAAGGGGCUUGUAUCCAGGUUGGCUGGAAGGGGCGUGGGAGGGGGGCUGUCUGCGUGAACGACCGCGCGGCGAACACCCAGGUGUGUGUGGAUGGGUGGGUGAGGUGGGAUUGUAGAUACCCGCCCAAACUUAACCGUGCCCAAUGCAGGAGGAGAGCGUGGGGGUUAUGGGGGGGACUUAAGAUUCAGGCUUGUUGAGAGGGGCAUCCCUUGCCCAUUAUGCGCUUUCCUGUCACACAAGCCCACGAAACACACCCACACACCCACACACGAAACACACACGCCACACAGGACACCAAGUCCUACCCCAAAGACCUGGUCCUCUCCCGGCACGCCUCCCUGCCCCUCUCCCUCGCCCUCGCCGCGGCCUCCCCCGCGGCCUCCUCCUCCGCCGCCGCCACCGCCGCCUCCCGUGCGUCCACCGCCGCCUCCAACAACGCCGCCAGCGGUGGCAUCCGCCUCUUCGGCUCCCAGGGAAGCAGUGACCCGAGGGUCACGCCCAACGCGGCCGGGGGCCGCAUUAACAGCACUGCUGCCGGCGACGGCGCCGCCGGCGCCGCCGGCGCCGGGACCGCCGCUGAAGAUUUGGGCUGUACAGGAAGCAGCGGCGGCGGCGGCGGUGCUGGCGGCGGCGGCGGCGGCGGCGGGGCCAAUGGUCCGCUGCUUGCGCUGUACGCAACGUUUGGUCAGUCCACGCCGCGGCCGCUGCUGCAGGCGGUGGUGCGGAGCCUGAGGGAGCUGGCCAUGGUGGGUCUGGUCUGGUGUUGUUGCCUGGUGCCACUGUUGCUACAGCUCUGCUUCUUGAUUCAAUCAUGAAGGUAACCUGACCCCCACUCUCUGCUCCUCAGGCUCUGGCGCCGGUGGUGUGGGCCCGUAUCUCCUCUGAGCCCUCGCUGCGGGACGAGUGGGCGGUGCUGGCGGCGCACCUGAAGAAGGUGGGGAAACGUGUGUGUUUGGGGGCGGGGGGAAAGGUGUAAAUACCAGUCCAAACGAAAGCAACCCAACCCAAACGAGCGGAGCACAGGCAGAGGCGUUGUAAGGGGGUUACAUUCAUGACUAGUUGAGGGAGUGAUAGACGGUAGACCAUCUCGCUGUAGAGGGGGUUGUAAAACCAAAACCAAAACCAACGAAAACGAGGGGGGGACAGGCACCUCAAAAGGGUGUGGGCAGGUGGUUAUUACAGGGGUGGGCACAACCGAAGAAGGCGGGGGGAAUAUGUGCUUGUGCGUGUGUGUGUGAAGGGGUGGCAUGGGGUGACGGGGGUGGGGGCCAUGGGAUGGGGGCUGCGCGUGUGUGUAUGCUAAGUGAGCAUGUGGGCGUGUAUGUGUAUGUGUAUGUGCACAUCCCGUUCCCGCGCCCGCAGCCGUGCACACAGCAGUCCACACACACACACACACACACACACACACACACACACACACACACACACACACACACACACACACACACACACACACACACACACACACACACACACACACACACACACACACACACACACACACACACACACACACACACACACACACACACACACACACACACACACACACACACACACACACACACACACACACACACACACACACACACACGAAACACCACGUGCACUGCCCCACCACCCACCGCCUGCCCGGAAACCCUCCAAACCCAACCCGCCCAACCUCACCGGCCUAAGCACACAACCUACACAACCAUCAUUAGCCAACCAAUCAACCAACGGCCGGUCUAACCUGGCCUAACUCGCCCUCACACUCUCAGGUGCCGCUACGCAAGCGCGGCCACCACACACGCCGCGGCGGCGGCGUCUCUUCAGGCUCAGAAGGCGCGGAGGAGGGAGAAGAGAUGGAGGAGGAAGAGGACUUUGGCCUGCACCCGAAACAAGAUCAGCCGCAGCAGAAGCAACAGCAACAGCCGCAGGCUCCUCUGCAGCUGGCCGCCCCGGUAACGUUAACGGCGGCGGCGGCGGCAGCGAGUGCGAAUGACAACGCCGCCGCCGCCGCCGCCGCCGCCGCCGGUGGAGGCUGCGGUGGCGGCUACGGCGCCAGCGGCGCGUGUGGCAUGAUUGGUGAGGUAUUUGGAAAGGAGGCCGUAGACGCUUUGCUGGACGCAAUGGGGGGCAUUGGCGCCGCCGCCAGUGGCAUAGGCGGCGCCGCCGCCACCGCCACCGCCGCCGCCAACAAGAAUGGAAGCAGCAUUGGCGGCGGCGGCGGCGGCGGUGGCGGCGGCGGCCAAACGUUCUUAGCGCCGCCGCCGCCGGCGGCGGCGGUGCCGCCGCAGCUUCAGUCGCCCCCGUUCUCCGUCCACCAGUCGCCCAGCCUUGGCGCCGCCGUCGGCGCGGGCGGCGGCGGCGGCAUGGCGGCGGCAGUGGCGGCUCUGUUGGGAGGGGCAACGCCACGGGGGGGCAGCAGUGGCGGCGGCGGCGGCGCCGCCGCCGCUGGUGAUGGAAAGCUAGUGACGCCCGCCGCCGCCGCCGCCGCCGCUGCGGCGGGGCUGAAGGCAGCAAAGAAACCGCCGUCAGCGCGCAAGUCGUUCCGCGCCCUCCUAGGCUGGGUGGCCGGCGGCGGCGGCGGCAACGGCGGCGGCGGCGGCGGCGGCUCUUCCGCCGCCAACCAUCCUUUAGAAACCGCCGCCGCCGCCGCCGCCGGCAGUGAGGCUGCUGCCGGCGGGCUGAUGAGGCUCGCGCCGACGGUAACGGCUACAACGGCACCCGAUCAGCAGGCGAAGGCAAGACCAGCCGGCACUGCAGAUGCCAGCGUUGGCGCCGCCGCCGCCGCCGCCGGUGAGAUCUUGGACACCAGCAACAGCCUAAUGGCUGGCGGCGCCGCCGCCGCCGUUGCUCGGAACGUCUGGACCGGACCCGCGGGUGUGCCGGCGCCGGCGUCCGCUGCCAGCGGCGCCGGCGGCGCCGCCGCCGCCAGCGCCGGCGCUGCCUUGUUUGCCGCAGAGCUUGGCGGCUGCAACGGUCUCACCGCCACCGCCGCUGCUCCCGCCGUCACCGCUGGCGGCGCUGGCGGCGGCGUCAACGGAUCCAGGCUGCUGACGCCGCCGGGUAUGCCGCCGGGGCCUGCCGGUUUGGCAGCCUCAGCAGCAGCUACGGAGGCGGCGGUGGUGGCGGCGGGUGGCGGCGGCGGCGGUGGCGGCGGUUUGGCGAUGGCCCGUGGGACGGAGGCGGUUGGCGACAGGCACCGCGAGAGGAUGAAGCACAUGCGACGCAAGAGCGUGUCGUUCCGGCUGGAGGCAGCCAUGAGUCCGCGAGGUGGGGUUCUGGGAGUGGGUGGAUGGGGUUGGGUUUUGGGCACUUGUUUGUGGGGGGCUUGGGAAACUCGCACGGCGUGUUUGCUAGUGUGGCGUGGCGUGACCUGUCGUGUUGUGUCCUUCUGGCUUGAGGCAGCCCGCGAGGUGGGGUUUGGGGACGUUGGGGGUGGGGGUUUGGGACGCGUUUGGCGUCGUGUCGUGUCGUGUCGUGUGGUGUUUGGCGUGUUCGGUUCGAGUAACGGCGCGGAGGGAGCCUUCCGCUCUGGUCUACGUACGCAUUAGUUCAGCAACGCAUGUCGAUAUAAGGCAGAAGCGGCAAUGCGGGGGGGGGGGGGCGGCUCAACCGGCGAAAGCGGCAAUGCUGCUCCGGCGAUACAUGCGCACAGGCUUUGGCUCUGCGACCCUUGCUUGUGAAUGGAGCACCCUUGUCUUGUUAUCUUGGUGAACGGUACUGUAUCCUGGUUGCUGCAACCUUUGUUUGUCGAGAAGCUUGUCUUGUUAGUGAUUUAUAUGUGCUUGUGUUGCUGUUACGUUGGCCCACGUCACAGGUGCCUCCAAGAUUGCGCCCAUCAUCUCGAUCAUGCAUGAGCGGCUUAAAGCGGCACAGGUGAUGAGGAGCGUGUCUGGGCUGGGCGGCGCGCGAGGGAGGGCUUGCCCGUGUGAACCACACACUCUUCGUUCAGUUGUUCUUGACAUGAAGUCUCCCCCUUCUCCCACUUCUCCGUACCAAUCUUUGCAAACCCAACACACAAAACACACACACACACACACACACACACACACACACACACACACACACACACACACACACACACACACACACACACACACACACACACACACACACACACACACACACACACACACACACACACACACACACACACACACACACACACACACACGCACACACACACACACACACACACACACACACACACACACACACACACACACACACACACACACACACACACACACACACACACACACACACACACACACACACACACACACACACACACACACACACACACACACACACACACACACGCAC
rnacentral:lncRNA from 1 species